rnacentral:lncRNA from 1 species
GGCAUUGUAUUAGAAGUGCAUUGGUUGGUUUGUUAUCCUUCUUUAUUGAAAUACAUAUGCCUGAAAUAGACCUAGUGGGCGAAUCGGCGUGGUCGGCGGCCGAACCCACUGGGAACUUCGUUCUAGUUCUCAUUACCACUAACCCUGCAGAUCCGUGUGCGAGCGGGGCAGCGGAGGAUCGAGGCAAGGGUAUCGCGCCGUAGCUAGCGGCCCUCGAAAUAUAGGCAUACCCUACAUUUUGGUGUACUCAACUGUAGGUGUUGAACUGUAAAUGAUGUAAAGCAAGAAAUGCAAAUUAUAUUUUGGGUAAUGUAAGAAUGAUGUAAAUCAUGUAUUUUGGUUAAAGGAAAACGUGAUGUAAAUGAAUGGGUAAGUGAAUGUAAAUGUAAUAGACUACUUGUGUUUGAUUCAAAUGAAAUCAAAUGACUUGUAUAUUGGAUGCUUAGAUAGUUUCGAUGCUUUCACUUGUGGUUGUUGUUUGCCUUCGUGCAAACCUUGUAUAUCUCGCAAUUCUCUUUAUUGAUUUGCUUGUAAUAUACUUGAUGUUGGAGCCUUGGGCGGACAGGAGAGGUGUUGUCCGUUCGGCGUCUGUCAUGUGCUCGAAUCCGACCAAAUUGGCGGAGCUCGGGGCGUGACACUAGUGACUUGAGCUAAAGAAUCUAAGGUAGUAGAAACUUUAGAAGCUAGUUGGAUAUGAGCUAGAUAGCCAGAUAGAAGUAGAAUCGUUAGAGCUACUUCUGUUGUUGCAUCGUUGCAUGAUUUUCAUAUAGCAUGACAUUAUUGCGUUCGCGAGGCAAAAGCAUGUAAAUGUUAGUUGCAUAUUUAUGAUUUCAUAUUAUAUCUAUUUGUUGAACUAAUAUGUUGUUUACCUUCUUUGGACCUGUUGGUCGAGCUUUUCCCUUGGGUGGCCGUAUCCACUGGGAACUAUAGAGUUAGUUCUCUCCCGACGUUGUUUCGGGGUGUUACAGGUUCGCACGUGAGCGGUGUGGCGGCGCGAGGCAAGGGCGUAGCUUCGUAGAUAGCGCCCUACCCCAGAGUCCAGAGAUAGCAGUACCCCGAGUCGGCUAGCUAGGGGUAUAGAAAUGAAAGAAAUAAACUUGUAGUAAAUUGUAAUAACUUAAUUGCAUCUGGGAGUUGAAUGUAAAGUAAAAUGAAAACUGAGAUGAAUGCUUGUAAUAGCAGUAGUUGUAUUUAUAUUUUUGAUACUUCCUUAUGCAAUCUUUGCUUCAAUAUUGUUCCUGGUUGGAACCUCUUGUAUUGUAUUGAUUGCGACGCCUUGGACGUACAGGGGAGACACUGUUCGUGGUACAGGGGAAACCCUGUCCGUUCGGCGCUGUCGGCGGCACGACACGGCCAAAUAGGCAUGGUCGCGGGCUGUGACACUUUCAAUCUCAUAGGUGAGGAGAAACUGCACUCGCAACCGAGACCAUCUUCGGGACAACUACGUCUUCCCCUGUCGUGAAGUACUCCGGAGACCACUACUUGGGUGGAGCGACCACGCCAAGUGUAAACAGACAAGUGAGUAUGAUCCAAUCCUCACAACUCGAGGAUACCCUAUCUACAAGGGUCAUAGUGCUUCUACCGCACUGAUUCCAAAUGCACAAUACAACAAUCGGGAACUCUACUAUCCCUAGAAUCAUGUCAUAACGUGUCACUAUGCUAGAUUCGAUGCCACUCGUUCAAAUCAUUAGUUGUAAAUGUUUCAACUAGUUUACAUGCCACUCGUUCAUGUUGUGUUAAGUCUUGUGUAUUGGCAAGUUUCGUGAAGUGAGUCGGAGUCUUGAAGGACCGGUGCGUAUCGUCGAAGAUCGAAAAAUUCAAGAUUUCGAAGAAGUCAGAAAAUAUCUCACGACGUGAAUCACGAUGCUCAGGUAAAGUAUAAAUUCAUGUUAUGGUAAUUCAUACUUAGUUGUAGACAUUAGAAUCAUGUUAUCAAUGUCUAAUGGAUAAGAAAGUGCAUCGGAACUUUGCAAAACCCGAAACGGCGGAAAUUUGCAAAGUGUACCGGUACAGCAUCAGAAGUGUACCGGUACAAAUUGUGUACCGGUACGACCAUCAAGGAUGUAACCGGUUUCACUGUUUCGUCAGGUUUUUCGUUCCGUCAUCGUGUAACCGGUGACAGCUUAAAGUGUACUGGUACACAGUGUAAAAUCGUGAAAUCUUUCUAAUCCGACUCCAAUUGAUUCUAAAGUCUAUAAAUAAGCUAUUGGGCUUCUCUAACAUAUCAAGCAUCACGAAAAUACAUAUUUGAGAAAUCCUAGAGGCUUGGAUUUCAUCAAAAACCUAUUUUCUACAAAAAGCCUCUUUUAGAUCAAAUCGAGAUAUUGAAAUUUGAUAUUAAUAUGUCGAUUUGAUCUCCGUUUCGCUUGGAGUUCUAUUCCCUGGUUUUCUACGAUACUCCAAAGCGAAGGAUCACCAUAUUCAUGAUAUUCUUCAUGGUAGCGUCGUGGAUUCGGCGUAUUUGACGGCGGUUUGUGGAUUCGGAUCGUGGGCUCGUGGAUUCGAGUGGCAUCGUGGAUUCGGCGUGAGUGGAGCUUCGUGGAUUCGAAGUGAAGGCGUUCGUGGACUCGAACGUGAGGGCGUGGACAACCUGGAGGGUAGUGCGAAGAUUCAUAGGAGGUUAAGAGAGGUUGAGUCCGUGGAGUCGGUAAUCACCUUGUAAUCUUUUCUCUUAGUGAAUUGUUUUUUCGUGUGUUGGUCCCGUGGGUUUUUCUCCAAGUUGGAGUUUUCCCACGUAAAUCUCGGUGUGCUUUUUAUUUUCCGCAUUUAUUUUUAUUGCAUCGAGAUUUGUAGUUUUUGGCCGUUCACUUAUUCACCCCCCUCUAGGUGAUAGAUACAAUGUAGAUAGAUCCUUGGGCUCCUCAAAACUUUCAAUUGGUAUCAGAGAGGGAUCUAGAUAAAUUGUUAUCUAAUGGCCGAAGGUGGUAACAUUAAUCGACCUCCGCUCUUCGACGGCACGAAUUAUGCCUAUUGGAAAGUUCGCAUGAGAGCUUUUCUAAUUGCUAUCGAUGAGCGGGUUUGGCAAUCAAUUGAAUUUGGGUGGAAACAUCCGAUAGAAAAGGUCGAUAAUGUUGAAAAGCCAAAACCACGGAACAAAUGGACGAAAGAAGAAAACGAGACAUCUUCGUUUAACGGCAAGGGCAUAAACGCUUUAUUUAAUGCAUUAUCUCAAACGGAGUUUACUCGUGUUUCGGCUUGCGAAACGGCAAAGAAAAUUUGGAAUACUCUACAAGUUACGCAUGAAGGAACGAGCUUAGUAAAGGUCCAAAAAUUGCAAAUGCUAACAAGCAAGUUUGAUUCUAUUUCUAUGGAUGAAAACGAGACCUUUACCGAGUACUAUACACGUCUACAAGACGUUGUGAAUACAUGUGCUAACUUGGGAGAGAAAAUCCCGGAUUCUAAGGUUAUUAGAAAGAUUCUUAUAACUCUUCCAGAACGCUUUUGGGUAAAGGUUGCCGCGAUCGAAACGGUUAAGCAUCCGGACGAGAUGAAGGUCGAAGAAUUAGUAGGUGCUUUGCAAACUUACGAAAUAACCUUUGCUACUAAUCAAUCUUCUUCCAAGUCUUCUUCUAAAAGCACAGGUGUUGCAUUGAAAUCUACAAAGGAGAAGAACGAAGACUCGAGUUCCGACGAUGAUUUAUCAAUUGCGGACUUUGAACAACAAUUGGCGCUUCUUACGAAGAAGUUUCGUCGAAAUUUCCGGAACAAGAAUAGAUAGGACAAGGCUUCAUCGUCUAAGCGACAAUCUUUGUCUAAAUCAUCUUCAUCUUCAAAGUCUAAGGAUAAAAAUCGUGCAAAGUCUUCAAAGAAAAAGGAUGUAUUUGAAGGCGAGAUCCAAUACUUCAAGUGCAAAGGCUACGGCCACAUUACGACGGAUUGUCCUUCAAAGAAGAUGUAUAGACAAAAGGCUAUGCAAGCAAAGACGUGGGAUGAUUCAACAUCAAGUGAAUCAUCGUCAAGUGACGAAGAAAAGAAUGAUCAAAUUGCCUUAUUUGCUAAUACUCCUUCGUCGAAUGUUGUGUGUUUAUCCUCUUUUGCUACUAACUCCAAUAUUUCUCUUUCUUCACAUGAUUCAUCGAGCAACAAUGGCGAAAGUGAGGAGGAAUCAAACGACGACGACAUAGCGGAAGCGUACAAUCAACUUCUCAUUGAAUCUAAGAAGAUGGCUAAACUCAACAAGAAGUUGAGACGUCGUUUGUUGGAACUUGAGGAGGAAAACAACAACGUAAAGAGUUUAAAUAAGGCUCUUGAGGAGGAAAGGGAUUCAAGUUUGAAGAUUAAUUCGGACCUCCAAGAGAGGCUUAGUGAUGCGGAAUCAACGAUCAAAUCUUCUAACGACAAGAUUGGGUUUUUGGAGCAUCAAUUUCAUGAAUCGCACAAGUCCAAUCAAGUCUUGACCAACCAAGUUCGUCAACUCCAAUCCGAUCUUCAACAAUUUUCUUCGGGAUCAAAGAAGUUGGACAAAAUGCUUGGAUUGGGUCAAACGAGCAAAUUGGGCCUUGGAUAUGAACGGACAUAUGUUGAGAAGGAUCAAACGGCGACAUCUAAACUCUCAACAAUUUUGAAAGGCAAAGUGUGUCAUCGAUGUGGCAUCAAAGGACACAUCAAAAGGAAUUGCCCAAACAAAGACAAAAAGAAUCAAUCGGCAACUUCUAAUCGUCAAGUGGCACCCUCUACUACUCGACAUUUCCCACGGAAUCAAAAGCAAAGUCAAGUUAGUCGAGUACCUCAAAAGAAUCGGAUUUCUAAUGCACAACGCCAAGUUCAUGCGAACCGGGUGCAUAAACCUCAACGACAAAUUCAACCUAAGCCUCAACCGAAGAAAACAUCAACGGUUGAUCAAAAGUCUAAACAAACGGCACCUAACGUCAACAAGUUGAGAAAACCAACGAUCAGACAAGUUUGGAUCCGAAAAGGUGAUAUCUUUCCUUGCUCCUCGUCUUAGUCGUUUUUGAUCUUUAGUGUAAUGUUUUGAUUGGUGCUUGUUGUUUAUUUUUAAUCAUUGCAUUACAUGUUUAGACGAUUUUUGGUGCUUUGGCUUUUAUUCGGUUAAAAAAAAAAAUCAUUUUUUGAGGAAAGGUAUUUGGGAAUUUCAAAAUCUUUGAGAAAGGAGAUGAUUGAGAAUUUUUUUUGGGAGAGGAAGUUUUUAAAGAUUGUUUAAACGGGUUUUAUCUUCACAAUCAUAUUAAGUUAAAUUCAUAUUAAUUAUCGUUUUUACUCCACUUUUUAUUAUUUUGACGAUAAUUUGAUAUAUGAUCUCUUAAUGCAUAUAUUCAUCAAAGUUUUGAAAUCAAAUUUGAUCUCUUGGUGAUUAAUUCAUCUUGGUUGUGUGUGUUGGAGAUGAUGGAUGGAUAUUCUCUAAUAGACUAAAAUUUGUCAAAAUAUUUUCAAUUGUGAGAUUGCCUAUUUUAGGGGGUUUUGAAAUUUAAAAAAAAAAGGAGAGAAAGAAACUCCUAUGUUUAAAAGAUGUGGAAAGAGUUACAUCCUUAAAGGAGUGUGAAAACUACCACCACAUGUAGGAAAGAGCUACCACCCCGGUCGUCCGGCAAGUGUGUGAAGCUACCACAUGAAAAUUGAAUUGAUUAAACCGAAAAAAAAUUGAAAAGAAACAAUUGAAUAUUUUAGAAUAUUUCGGAGUAAUAAGGUGUUAGUUUGAAGAAGAUGCUCAAAGAGCCACCUCCGGUAUCAUAUUGGUUAGAUCUCUAUUUUGAACAUAUUGCAAAAAAUUGGUGUCAAUUUUGUUGAAUUUCUAAAAAUCAUUUUACAUCAACUCACAUCUUGAUAAUUUUGAAACUUGAAAUCAGUUUUGAUUAUGAAAUUUUGAUGUUUCGAUGUAUUUUGAAAUCGUAUAAUAUUUUAUCUUCAUCAUACUGAUUUUUGGAGUAAAAUUCCUAAUUUAUAUGAAAUUAAUUUAAGUUUAAAAGGUUUUUAAAUUUAAAUUUUCAAAAUCUGAGUAAGUGUACCGGUACAAAAUCUCGUACCGGUACAAGUUACUGUAGCCGCGGGUUAUAUAACCGGAUACAUGUUUCGAUUCUCUCCGAAAUCUUAAUCAAAACCGCAUCUUCUCCUGAAGCUCCUAGGCGACAAUCUCCUUCAGAUUUGCUGCUUUUCACGUGGAUUUGUAAGUUGUUUGCUCGGAUUUAUGGAUCAAACCUCGUUUUUACAUAUUUUUUCAAAAAAUUUUGAGUUCUUGCUUAGAUCUCUGUUUUUGAUCGUUUUUGAUGCAAUUUCUUGCUGUAGAUCACUGCUUAAGGACAUUAUCUUGCUUCUAGAAUACUUGAAUCACAUCAAAACACAUUAUUUUUCGCUGAUCCAUGUUCUAAGCUUCGUUUUUCAUGUAAUUUCGGGAUUUCUUUUUAAAAUGUCAUUUUUUUUAUAAAAUUGUUGCAUGAUCUUGUUAGAAAUAGCAUUUGUAUGCAUUCUAAUGUUAUUAAAAAAAUUUUUGCUAUUUUUACAGAUUUUUUCAAAAUUUUCUUCAUGAAUGGCUUAUUUUCAUAUAGGAGAAUGGCGUUUUCGCUCGUGAUCCUUCUUCUGGUGCUUAUGGCUGCCGGUCGUGGUCGUGGUGGUGGUCGAGGACGACGUGGACAAUCAAAAAGAACUCGUACUGCCGACGAGUCAUCAGGAUCAGAUCCAGAUUAUCAAGCAAGCUCACUUGAAGCUACUGAAGAAGCGGUUACGAGGGCUGCUAAAGGAAAAGGCCUAGCAGGCGAAUCCUCACGAGGAGGUGAUUCUCGUGCACGUGAAAGGCGCUCCAAACGUGCUGCAGAGGCUUCAUUAGAGCGACAACAGAUUUAUUCGAGCCGAUCAGUUCUAGCUGAGCGCUAUGUCAACUUCACUGAGCUGGUCAAGGAGGUACCAGAGUUUGGCCGAUUGCUGCAGAGGUUCCCUAUUGAGCCUGUUGGACGGGUUCCAGCUCGUGCCCCAUUUUGUGUGGAACUAAUUCGAGAGUUCUAUAUGAACGGGGUAGUACUUGGAGAGGAUGAGGAGACUGGGACUUAUGUGUUUGAGUCUUAUGUGCGUAAACAGAAGAUUCACGUCACUCCUUAUACUAUUGGAGAGCUCUUAGGUAUGCAUAUUGAUACUACCGGCCUUCACUAUACGACAGGGCAUUUUCAGUCUUCAACUCACUGGGAGACUGUUAUUCAAGCUAUAUGCAAAGAAGGUGUUAGGACUAAUCAUUCAUAUGUGGAAUCUAAGGAUUUGCUAUCUGAAUAUCAUCUGCUCUCAUUGGUGAUGAGCUACAACGUUCAACCGACAAUUGGAACAAAAAGAAUUCGGUGGGAUCGUCUUGUGCUUCUGUAUCUUCUUGGACAUCCUGAAGAAGCAAGAGGAUUGAACAUCAAUAUUCCUUUUCUUAUGUGGCAACGAAUGGUUCAUGUUAUACAGUCUCAGGUUCGCCGUGAUCUUCUUCCGUUUCCAUUGUUGAUCACGAGGAUUCUUCAGGAAAAUGGUGUUGACGUGUCAUGUGAGAAGUAUGAUUUUGGACUUGGACCUAUUGAUGCUGUAACUUGGGCAAAGUCAAGGAGCACAUUGAAGACGUUUCAGCAAACCAAAGGGUCCUCCAGAGGAGCUACUAGUUCAGCACCUCCACUUAGAGCAACACGCGAGGGAUCUUCUAGUUCAGGGGGAGUGAUUACUGUAGAAUCACUUCACAUGAGGUACGCUCUACGAAGAAGAAAUUGGCUGAUCUUGCGAGAAAGGUGGAAAUGGGAAUGAAAAGAAUGAUGGAGAAAAUGGGCUGUAGGCAUGAUGACAUUUUCCCUCCUCAGCCUACUUACUCCACGUAUACUAGAUCGACUUCACGACAUCCUCUCAUUCCACUGUCUGGUGAUGCUCCUGAGGCUAGGGGAUCUGGAGCUGGCGCAGAAGAUGAUGAUGAUGAUGAUGACGAGGACACGGAGUGAUGUCUUCCUCGGGCUUCGUUUUAUUAUGCUUACUUUCUAGGACGAUGUUUUAGACUUGCUUGCUUAUCUUUCUUUGGCAUGUUUUUAUUUUAGGCCUGUACCUAUGACUAGACUUCUUUUAUGCUUUCUAGUAUGUUUUCUCUCUAUUUGCUUUCUUUUGGCAAUUUUUGACAAAAAAGGGGAGAGCGUAGAACAGGGGGAGAGCAUGGAUGACAACAGGCAAUGAACUAAGCAGAGGAUGAUGAGUUCAAGAACAAAGGGGAAGAUGUGAUCGAGAUGUGUUGAACAAAGGGGGAGAAGGUAUAAGAAUUUAAGGUUAAUCAUUUUUGAAUGAAUUGUUUUGCAGGAAAUCAAGACUUUAAGACUCCUAGUUGUGUCUAAGUCAUAGAGUCUGUUUUAGGAGUUUUUGAUGUAAGUUUGAGUUUCAAAUUGUAUUUGGAUUACACGCGAGGAGUUCAAUGUUUUGGUGAUGACAAUUGAACUUCAUUUUUCUGUAAAUUGUAAUUUUUGAGUUGGUGUGUGUUUUGUCACGAAAUUGCCAAAGGGGGAGAUUGUUAAGUCUUGUGUAUUGGCAAGUUUCGUGAAGUGAGUCGGAGUCUUGAAGAACCGGUGCGUAUCGUCGAAGAUCGAAAAAUUCAAGAUUUCGAAGAAGUCAGAAAAUAUCCCACGACGUGAAUCACGAUGCUCAGGUAAAGUAUAAAUUCAUGUUAUGGUGAUUCAUACUUAGUUGUAGACAUUAGAAUCAUGUUAUCAAUGUCUAACGGAUUAGAAAGUGCAUCGGAACUUUGCAAAACCCGAAACGGCGGAAAUUUGCAAAGUGUACCGGUACAGCAUCAGAAGUGUACCGGUACAAAAUGUGUACCGGUACGACCAUCAAGGGUGUAACCGGUUUCACUGUUUCGUCAGGUUUUUCGUUCCGUCAUUGUGUAACCGGUGACAGCCUAAAGUGUACCGGUACACAGUGUAAAAUCGUGAAAUCUUUCUAAUCCGACUCCAAUUGAUUCUAAAGUCUAUAAAUAAGCUAUUGGGCUUCUCUAACAGAUCAAGCAUCAUAAGAAUACAUGUUUGAGAAACCCUAGAGGCUUGGAUUUCAUCUAAAACCUAUUUUCUACAUAUUAGCCUCUUUUAGGUCAAAUCGGAAUAUUGUAAUUUGAUAUCUAUAUGCCGAUUUGAUCUCCGCUUUGCUUGGAGUUUCUUUUCCUGGUUUUCUACGAUACUCCUAAGCGAAGGAUCACCAUAAUCAUGAUGCUCUUCAUGAACGGCGUCGUGGAUUCGGCGUGAACAAAGGCGGUUCGUGGAUUCGGAUCGUUGGCUCGUGGAUUCGAGUGGCGUCGUGGAUUCGGCGUGAUUGAAGCUUCGUGGAUUCGAAGUGGAGGCGUUCGUGGAUUCGGACGUGAGGGCGUGGACAACCCGGAGGGUAGCGCGAAGAUUCAUAGGAGGUUAAGAGAGGUUGAGUCCGUGGAGUCAGUAAUCACCUUGUAAUCUUUUCUCUUAGUGAAUUAUUUUUUCGCGUGUUGGUCCCGUGGGUUUUUCUUCAAGUUGGAGUUUUCCCACGCAAAUCUUGGUGUGUUUUUUAUUUUUCGCAUUUAUUUUUAUUGCAUCGAGAUUUGUGGUUUUUGGCCGUUCACCUAUUCACCCCCCUCAAGGUGAUAGAUACAAUCUAGAUAGAUCCUUGGGCUCCUCAAAACUUUCAUGUUGUAGUGCUUCUACUACACUAGUUCAAUGUGAACUAUUAUCAUCAUUUCAAGAUCAAGUUGUCGCUUAUCUUGUCACUAUAAGAUUUCAUGUCACCAAAUUUAAUCCUCAUGUACCCUAAGUCCUGUGUCAAGCCACUAUGCUACACUACUAAGGAACAUGCAAGGAAAAGAAGUGUAUCUGUAGCACACUGGACCUUUGCAAAUUGCGAGGUUCGAGUGUUCGAGCUGUGUUCUGAGUCCUUCCAGACUUUCUGGUAGGUCGUUGACAGUAUUCCGACCUAUGGCCUGUAUCUCGAGAAUUGUGGUUUAAAGCUGUGUACCAAAACCCAAAAAUCGAUUUCUUGGCCAGCUCUCGGGUAGCCUUCAGAGGGUCUUGUACCGGUACAAGGUUGGUGAUUGUACCGGUACAAGGUUGAUGGUUGUAUCGGUACAGCCAUCAGGCUUGUACCGGUACAGAGCUGCGGAACCCCCCAGACCCGAGCCUCGGGUUGAAGCUUUUCGUGAGGCUUGUACCGGUACAAGGGCCCGUGUACCGGUACAAGGUGGCAGAAUUUGAGCAGUUUGAACUGCAGGGGUGUUUUUGCGAUUGUGGGCCUCUUAUAUCAACACCCACGCCCCUAGGGCUUCUUCCUGAGCUUGCCACAGUAGGAAUAGAGGUAAGGGAGCCCUCCUUGAUUUUCCUUUUGUUUUCCUUAGAUUUUGAUUGGAUUUUAGGAGAUUAAACUCCUCUUUUUGCUCGUUGGUGCAACUUCACCAUUGUUGAAGCUUGAAGCUUGGAUUUGGAGCCUUAUUGAGGGAAGAUCUUUGGACUUAGAGAGUUUAGAGUUUGGAUUGAAGCUUCUAAGAGGUAAGCAUCAUAUUCUCUCCCUCUAGAUUUGAUUUUUGUUGAUGGUUUUGAGAUAAAACCCUAAAAUGGAGACUUAGGGCUUAUUUUUGGGCAUUUUUGAUCUAGGGCUUCUGGGGCUAAAUUAAUUGGAUUAGAACCCUCCUUUGGGUUGUAUUGGAAGGAUCCUAGCCUUCUUUUGGAGCUUGUGAGAGUUUUUCUACACAUUAGGUGAGUUUUAGCCCUUUUGCCUUAUUGGUUAAUGUUUGAUUUUAUAGUUGAUCGUAAUACCCGUGUAUCUCUUCGCUCAAUACUUUUAGGGUAUUUUGAGACUCAUGGACGACUUCGUUCGGCGAAACGAGGCACUACGUGAUGGUUCGGUGGGUUUGACCUAGCCACACAACGAGAAAAUCUCAUUUGUGAAGAUUUGAGUAUCGUUAAUUGAAAAAGCAUGUAUAUUCAUGUUAGAUAUAUUUAUUAUGAAUUUUAGAAUGCUUAACAUGCAUAUGUUAUGUAUAGUAAAUUUUUGGACCUCUAUGUGGUAGGGUGCAUGCAUGUGGGACGUAGCAUUCUAGUGGGAACUUGGAACCAUGAAUCCUAUUAUGAAAAUGAACAUUGCUUUCUUGCAUUUAACCUUAUGCCUAAUUGUGACAUUAGGAACUUUGGAAGCCUAGAGAGGUUUGGAGACUUAGGCUAUUUGAGAUUUUGGGCCAAUGUCAUAAAGAGGCAUUAGGCCCCGGGCUAUAGUGAAUAUUGGUAUUAAUGUCAUAUUUGGAACAUAGAACAUGAAUUGAGCUUGAUUAGUUGUGAUGCUUAAGUGUCAUAAAGAGGCACUAAGCAAGUGAGUGUUGAGAUAUCACAUUGUGACAUAGAGCUAGACCGUUGGGUUACUAGUAGCUAUUGCCAUGUUUGAGACAUGAGGGUUGGACACUUGAGCCUUUGACUACGCUUGCUUGCCAUUUGUGCUCAUUCGUACAUGCUUGUGAGGGUCGCUCCCUACAAGCGGGCACUCCGGAGUUAGCCUACGCGACUUAUGUUCGCUCGUGCGGUAUUGAGAAGCCUACGGGGUCGAGUGGGAUAGACACAUUCCAAGAGUAGGAAUGUCGGGCUACCACAGGCACUUAAAUGGCACAAGCUGGAUUACCUUGGGUAGGCCCUUAUUUGGAAAUGAAAAUCGACACAAUGUUGAGUGUGUUAUAAUCACUACUAGAUAGAGAUUAGUAGUUGGAUUACUUGGACUUACUUCUAGCAUAGUUUUGGACACUUGAGUACACAUACGUAAAUGUAGUAUGCUAGGAGAUGUUGCUUAUUGUAUUCAUAUAUACAUUGUUGCCAUGAUAAAGCAUGAUCCCUAUAACUUCAUAAAUGAACUGUGACAUUUACUUGUAGUCAUGUAGAGACAUAUUGGUUAUAACAAAGUAAAGGUGCAUUAUUUUUUAGCACCAUGCUUAAUUGCAAUAUAGUAGUUUAGCAUUUUAAUUAUGCUCUCAUAAAUACAGUUUAUUCGUUAUUAUUGCUGUUUGCCGUACUUACCCUUUUUUUUUGGGGCCUAGUGGUGUAUUGAGCUGAGGUCAGUAAUUGCCCACUGGGAACUAUAAUUUAUAGUUCUCACGCCCUCUGUUCUAUGUUUUCUUUCAGAGCCUUCCACGCCGGAAGAGGCUAGGGACCGUGGGAAAGGCGUUGCUUCGAUCUAGCUCUUCAGCGAGGGACGAGUUGCUAGGUGGUCUAUCUCUCGAUGUAUUUUAUUUUGGGAGAGGUUGAAAGCUGUACCAGUGUACUAGAGACCACCCUUUGUGUACUUUUGGGACAGAUAUUGUACUACCUUAUGGUUUACUUUUAUUGUUUAAUUGUAUCCUUUUACUUUUGUUAUAGAAAGUAGAAUCUUACUGCUCUGAUAUCAUUAGUUUUUGCUCUUUCCUUUCGGCUAUGUUUCUUGCUUUAUUUUCGCUGUUGAUGUAGACGCUUUAUAUGUGUUGGCAUAUGGCGGGUCUGGGCACACUACCGGCAGGGCCUCUGCCGGUCCCGGGGCGUGACAGAUUAGUUUGGUAUCAGAGCCUAGGGUUGAGUCUUAGUGGACCUAGCAAACCUUAGUUGGACUAUAGGCAUUAAGCUCGUGAGAGACGAGGUCUAAUUGACUUGUGAGCGAAAGUAUUAUGAUUGGGUUUUAUGACAACUCUAAAAAGUUAGAGUUUGAUCGAAGUGUAUGGCUUCUAACUUCGCGGAGGGUUACGUUGGCGGCCGACAACGUAACAUCGGGAGUUAGUAGUGGAGAACACUUCCUUACUUUCGCAUGAUUUGGGUUUUAUCUAUUUGAGCGGGGAUGCGGUAGCGUGGGUUACUAACUUGCGCUUUUAUGUUUUGUAGUGACGAUGCCGAUUACACGCUCCCAGUCUGCCGGGGUGGAUGAUGCGGCACACCCCGAGGAGGCCGAGACCUCUGCUACUUCCGGAUCUAGUGAGGUCCGUGACUUGAGGACCCAGCUUGCGGUCCUUACUGAUCUGUUGGCGCAACAGACGGCAGCGGCGCAGCGACAGGCUGAGGUGGCUCAGCGGCAGGAGGCGCGGAUGAAGCAUCUUGAGGACCUCCUACUUCAGCAGGCGGCAGCUUCGAGGUAGACCCAGGUUCCCACACCGCCAGCACCCGUGGUGGACGUCGCGCGGAGGGCACAGCCCCCCGCGCCCAGUUCUUCACGUGCGGCACAGGCGACCACACCUCGUGAGGAGGUGGCUGCGGCACCCCCAGUUCAGAGACCGGCCACGGGGCAGCUUUCCCCGUGAGGGCCGAAGGAGCCGAGCGGGAUCGGCUCGUGGAUCUCCAAAGUGAGUUCAGGAGGUGCAGUCCAAGGACGUUUGAUGGCGAGAACGUCGACCACUGGAUUGUUGAGAAGUGGUUGAUGCACAUGGAGAAGCUUUUUCGAGACACCUUUGUGGAGGAGCGGGACAGAGUUUGGGUCGCCACUCACUUUCUCGAUGGCGUGGCCUACCGUUGGUGGUUGGAUAUCCAGGACAACCCCAACACCGACUUGGCAGCAAUUACUUGGACGAGGUUCAAGGAGCUCCUUCUGGCGCACUGGACGCACUGGACCUUUGAAAUCAAGGUUCGAGUGUUUGGGUUAUUUCGAGCUUUUCCACACUUGGUGGAGGUUGUAGAAUUCUUCACCUAAAAAAGUUCCGACAAAUGCGGGAUUCUGGACGAAGUCCUGAGAAGUUUUCACUCUCGGGACUCGUCCUGGAAGAGACCUGUCCCGCCCCAGUGAGCAGUGUUGAGGCCGGCCGAGCAAACCGGUCCUCUGACAGGCCGAGACCGGUCCCCGAGCAGCUCUCGCAGUGAGAGACCCGUCCCGCGUAGGAGAGACCGGUUCCCGAACGUAGUUUCGGAUUCGCAGGCGAGAGACGGUCCGCCUGCUGGGGAGAGACCGUCCCUCUGGGCGAAAACUGCCAACAACCGGGCUGUUGCAAAUUAAUGGAUUUUUGAGGGGCCUCACUGGAUUUUGUUACAUUAGAUGGGCUUUUAGCCAUUUCCUCCUCUUCCCUCUCUCAUUCUCUCAUUCUCACCCUCUCCCUACAUUUUCUAGAGAGAGAAGAAGAAGAAGAAAAAGGAGGAGAAGAAGAAGAGGAGCUACUCUGAGCGGAGCUUGGAGCUCAACCCCUUUCUCUCUUUCCCACCUUUGCAAGGCUUGAGGCUUGCUUGUAGAGCUUAGUGGUGGACAAACUUCAACCCUAGGGUAUUUUGGGCUUGGUUGAAGCUUCCAAAGGGUUAGUUCAUGUUUCCCUCCUCGAGAUUCUAUUUUUGUGAUUUUGGGAGAUGAAGCCCUAGAAAUGAGAUUUAGGGCUUAUUUUGGCUUUUUGAUCUAGGCUUUGCCAAAUCGAUUGCUUAGAACUUCCUAGGGCUGGAUGGAAGGGUUCUAGCUGCUCUCUGGAGCUUUGGAGAGAUUUCUACUCUUGAGCUAAAUUUUGGCCCUUUUUGCUCUAGGUUUAAUUUUUAAUCUCUCGAUGGUCGUAAUGCCCUCGAUCUCUUCGCUGAUUACUUUUAGGGUAUUGUGAGACUCGUGCGACACUCCGUUCGUGAUUCGAAGGACACGCGACGGUUCGGUGGUUUGACCUAGCUUAUCAUGAGAACAUACUCAUAUAUGAUGAAAUGGGUUUCGUAAAUUGAAAAACAUCGCUCAUGUAGAAUAUAGUUUAUUGUGAAUUUUAGGAUGUUUAAGAUGCCUAGUUAUGUGUAAGGAAAUUUCGGACCCCUAUAUAGUAGAGAACUAGCAUGUGUACUUGCAGCAUAUUUGCAUCCUUUUAGACUGGAAUCAUAAACUCCUAUUUGUGAAAAUGAGCACCUCUUGCAUGCAUUUAGGGACUAUCCUAUUUGAACUUGAAGGUUCUGGUAGCGCAUAAAGAGGCUCGGGGACUUGUGUUAUUGGGAAUAGUUGGCCUAAUGUCAUGAAGGGGCAUUGAGCUCGGUCAUGUGUAAACCUAUGGGAUAGUGCCAUUGAAAGAGUUAGAUAUACUUGUUCAUUAAAAUGUCUAAGUGUCAUAAAGGGGCACAAACUUUUAGUAUAUUGGGACUCAUUGUGAAUUAAACUAGAUCUUGCGGAUGCAAGUGACAUACCAUGUUAGAGACAUGAGGAUUGGAUAUUGAGACGACUACGCUUGCUUGCAUUUUGCUCAUCUGCACAUGCUUGUGAGGGUCGCUCCUACAAGCCGGCACUCCGGAGUUAGCCUACGCGACUACGGUUCGCGUCGUGCGGUAUUGAGAAGCCUACGGGGUCGAGUGGGACAGACACAUUCCAAGAGUAGGAAUGUCGGGCUACCACAGGCACUUAGGCGGCACAAGCUGGACUACCUUGGGUGGGUUCUUAAUUGGAAAUGGGAAUCGACACAGUGUUGAGAAUGAAUAAUCACUACUAGAUAGGUUUAGUAGUUGGAUUACUUUGACAUGCUCAUGAUAUAGCAUUGGUACAUAUAGCACGCUUGCCGGUUUCAUUGUUGCAUUGUAGUAUACUCGGUUGCUUGGUUAGAGCUUACUCUUUAUGCAUUGGACAUAUUAUCUUAUGAUAGCGUAGAUAUACAUCACCAUGACAUCAUGUUUACUUGAGAUAUAGCGGUUAGCUCUUCAAAUAUUCUUUCGUAUUGUUGUUGCUAUUACUCUUAUUAUUGCUUAUAGUACUUACCCUUUUCUCUUGGGGCCUAGUGGUGCAUAGAGCUGAGGUCAGUAAUUGCCCACUGGGAACUAUAAAUUAUAGUUCUCACGCCCUCUUUUUCUCGAUGUUUUUCAGAGCCUUCCACGCAGGGUGAGGCCAGGGAUCGCGGGAAGGGAGUUGCUAGGUGGUCCACAUCUCGAUUUAUGUUUUAUUUUGCGAGAGGUUGAGUGUUUUACCAGCGUACUAGAGACCACCAUUUUUAUACAUUUGAGACAGAUAUUGUACUUCUUAUGACUCCUAUUACUGUCUAACUUUACUUCCUUACCUUGGUGUAGAUGAUAGAACUAUACUCGCUCUGAUAUCAUUAGUCGCUUGUUGUUUCACUUCUUCUACUUGUCUUACUACCUGCUUUUACUUCCGCUUUUAUUCUAGACGCCUUAUAUGUGUAGACAUAUGGCGGGUCUGAGCACGCUACCGGGAGGGCCUCCGCCGGUCCCGGGGCGUGACAGCACUACUUCCCGAUCAGCGUCAAGAGGAAGAUGGAGCAGGACUUGCGCAGCUUGCGUCAGGACGAGCGGUCGGUGGCAGAGUAAUAGAGGAAGUUCUCCCGGCUACUUCAUUGUGUACCAUUUGUUGUGAGGGAUGACGAGGACAAGGCCCGCAUUUUUGAGCGUGGAUUGCGGCCUUCUAUUUUCCGAUUGGUGCAGUCUUCCAACCUCCAGACCUAUCGGGAGGUUGUGGAUCGAGCAUUGAUUGUAGAGGCUGGAGCGGCAGAUCUUCAGGAGCGUCGCGAGAGCUCAGAGAAGGGGAAGGGAAAGAGGCCCGCGGCUGAGCGUGCGAGUCAGACGCACUCACGGAGGCCGUCGAGGCACCCCAGGAGCCGGAGCCAGUCGCGGGGACGUGGCUCGUCAACUCAGCGAGGAGGAUCCGUUCGUCGCCAGGCUCCCCGCUGCGUGAUCUAUGGCGGUUCUCAUUACCCGCGGUAGUGUUCAUGCAGUCGGGGCAGGUGCUUCUUGUGUGGCCAGGAGGGCCACUUCCAGUCGGACUGCCCGAGGAGUCCAUCGCCAGCGCCAUCUUCGGCAUCUGCACCAGCAUUACCAGGUCCCAGUCAGGGGAUAUCUUCUACACAUCACCAGGCCGGGCGGCCGUCAGUUCUACGGCAGGCGGAGGGGUCACGACAGGCCUCGAGCGGGCGCAUGUACGCGGCCCAGACUGAGGAGGCGGCGGCAGCCGAGAAUGUGGUCGCAGGUAUCAUUUUACUUUAUGGUAUUCGAGUUAGAGCAUUGUUUAAUACCGGUGCAUCGCAUUCAUUCAUAGACCGGCUGUUUGCCGAGUUGCAUGGUAUCCCACUUGCAUCUUUGUUGCACCCGGGCUGAGUUGUUGUACCCGACCAUUCCUUGGACAUUCGGGAGUUUUGCCCCAGUUGCCCUGUUCGGGUUGGAGAUUGGAUCAUGCCUGCGCACUUGCUAGUGUUGCAUAAACUCGGGGAGUUUGAUGUUGUGUUGGGCAUGGAUUGGUUGACCAAGUACUUUGCCACCAUCGAUUGCAAGAAUCGAACGGUGACAUUUAGAGAGCCGGGGCAGGCGGAGGUUGUGUACCGAGGAUGCCAGAGUUCGCUGUUUGCGAUGACGAUUAGCUCUUCUCGAGCUCGGCAGUUGAUUAGUAGAGGCUGCGUGACCUACUUGGCUACUGUUGUGCUGCGGGGUGAGGAUGACACCCCCAGGAUUGAGGACAUCCCCGUAGUACGGGAGUUUGGAGAUGUGUUCCCAGCUGAGCUUCUGAGCAUGCCACUGGAUAGGGAGAUUGAGUUUGUAAUGGAUCUCGUUCCCGGGACUACUCCAAUCUCAAAGGCACCCUAUAGGAUGGCACCAGCAGAAUUGAAGGAGCUGAAGGCAAAGUUACAGGAUCUUCCGGACAAGGGUUUUGUGCGACCGAGUGUGUCACCUUGGGGAGCACCAGUUUUGUUUGUGAAGAAAAAGGACAGAUCACUUCACUUAUGCGUGGACUAUCGUGAACUUAACAAAGUCACGAUUAAGAAUAAGUAUCCGUUGCCGAGAAUCGACGAUCUAUUUGAUCAGUUACAGGGAUCCAGUGUGUAUUCCAAGAUUGACUUGCAGUCGGGAUAUCACAAAUUGAAGAUCAAGCCUGAGGAUGUGUCGAAGACAGCUUUUAGAACACGGUAUGGACAUUAUGAGUUUACUGUGAUGCCGUUCGGGCUUACUAAUGCCCCGGCAGCUUUUAUGGAUCUUAUGAACCGUGUGUUUAAGCCUUAUUUAGACAGGUUUGUCGUGGUGUUCAUCGACGACAUUUUGGUCUAUUCCCUAAGUGAUGCGGGCCACGAGGAACACUUGAGACUUAUACUUCAAGUGCUUCGGGAAAAGAAGCUCUAUGCCAAGUUGAAAAAGUGCGAGUUUUUGCUUCGGGAUAGCUGUGGAUCCAAGAAAAAUUGAAGCUAUCAAGGAUUGGCCGAGGCCGACGAGUGUGACCGAGAUACGGAGCUUCAUUGGUUUGGCCGGNAGAAAAAUUGAAGCUAUCAAGGAUUGGCCGAGGCCGACGAGUGUGACCGAGAUACGGAGCUUCAUUGGUUUGGCCGGCUACUAUCGACGGUUUGUUGAGGGAUUUGCAAAGUUGUCUACUCCCCUCACGAGGCUCACGCAUAAAGACAAAAAGUUUAUUUGGAAUGAUGCGUGUGAAAGGAGCUUCCAAGAGUUGAAGCAAAGAUUGACGACCGCCCCGAUCCUAACCUUGCCGACUGCUGGAGUAGGGUAUGUGAUUUAUAGUGAUGCUUCCUUUAAUGGAUUGGGUUGUGUCUUGAUGCAGAACGGGAAAGUGAUUGCUUAUGCAUCCCGCCAAUUGAAGGAUUAUGAAAGGAAUUAUCCCACUCACGACUUGGAGUUGGCAGCCGUGGUCUAUGCAUUGAAGCUAUGGCGCCACUACUUAUACGGCGAGCGAUGUGAAGUGUAUACGGAUCACAAAAGCUUAAAGUAUUUAUUCACUCAGAAGGAGUUGAACUUGAGGCAGCGCAGAUGGUUGGAGCUACUCAAGGAUUAUGAUCUGACGAUUCUCUACCACCCAGGCAAGGCUAACGUAGUGGCUGAUGCGCUAAGUAGGAAAUCGACGGAAAACUUAGCGAUGUUUGUGGUGACUCAACCGCCGUUGAUCGAGCAGAUGAAGAGGUUGGAGUUGGAGGUGACUCCUGACGCACCUUUGAGGCUGAUGACUUUGGUGGUGCAACCUACACUUAUGGAAAGGAUUAAAGAAAAGCAAGCUCCCGAUGUGGAGUUGCAAAGGAUUCAAGCUAAGAUGGUUGAUGGUUGCACCGAUGACUUCACUUUGGACGGUGAUCGAUUGAUGCGAUUCCGCGGACGGUUGUGUGUAUCGGCGGACUUGGGCAUUAAAGAGGACAUUCUUCAUGAAGCACACCGAGCACCGUAUGCUAUACAUCCGGGAGGCACCAAGAUGUACAAGGACUUGAAGUUUCUUUACUGGGGGCCCGGGAUGAAAAAGGAAGUUGGUGAGUUUGUUGCCAGAUGCUUAACUUGCCAACAGGUGAAAGUUCAGCACCGAGUUCCUGCUAGAAAGUUGCAGAGCCUACCGAUUCCAGUGUGGAAGUAGGAGAAGAUCACCGUGGAUUUCGUGAUGGGUUUGCCUUGCUCACAGGCCAGGCAUGAUGCUAUUUGGGUGAUCGUGGAUAGGCUGACGAAAUCGGCCCAUUUCAUACCAAUCCACACUAUUUGGACUGGUGAGAGACUCGCACAGGUUUAUCUGGAUGAGAUUGUGCGAUUGCAUGGGGUACCUACUUCUAUAGUAUCAGAUCGAGAUCCCCGUUUUGUAUCCCACUUUUGGAGGAGCUUACAGGAUGCUUUGGGUACGCGCUUGGAUUUCAGCACUGCUUUCCACCCCCAGAGUGACGGGCAGUCGGAGCGUACUAUACAAACUCUCGAGGACAUGCUUCGAGCCUGCGUGAUUGACUUCCAGGGAGGAUGGUCGCAGCAUCUACCGAUGGCAGAGUUUGUGUCACGCCCCGGGACCGGCGGAGGCCUUCCGGGUAGCGUGCCCAGACACGCCAUAUGUCAACACAUAUAAAGCGUCUACAACAAAAGCGAAAGCAAAAGCAAGUAAUAGAACAAAUAGAAGAAGUGAAAUAACUAGCAGCUAAUGAUAUCAGAGCGAGUAAAGUUCUAACAUCUACACCCAGGUAAAGAAGUAAAGCUAGACAAUAAAAGAAUUCAUAAGUAGUACAAUAUCAGUCUCUAGAACAAAAAUGGUGGUCUCUAGUACACUGGUAAACUCCUUAACCUCUCGCAAAAAGAAAUAUAAAUCGAGAGGUGGACCACCUAGCAACUCGUCCUCGAAGGAAGCUAGCUCGAAGUAACUCCCUUCCCGCGAUCCCUGGCCUCACCCUGCACGGAAGGCUCUGAAAAACAUCGAGAAAAAGAGGGCGUGAGAACUAUAAUUUAUAGUUCCCAGUGGGCAAUUACUGACCUCAGCUCUAUGCACCACUAGGCCCCGAAAGAAAAUGGUAAGUACCAUAAUAAUAGCAAUAAUGACUGCGAUAUGAAAGCAUAAUUAAAAUGCUAAAUUACUAAACUCAAGUAUACACGAUGUCAUGGUGAUGUACAUCUAUGAUAUCAAAUGGUAAAUCAUUAACCUUUAUGAAUACAUUAUGCAUAAGUUCUGUCAUGGCAACCAAGUAUGCUUUAAUGCAAAAGGAGACUAUCAAGUACACUACAUGUCUCAACCCUAUGCUAAAAGCAUAUAAAUGUAAUUCAACUACUAAACCUAUCUAGUAGUGAUUAUCCAUUCCCGGUUCAAUGUCAUUAAUCAAACAUGUUUUAGGAUCUACAAAUUGUAAUCCAGCUUGUGCCGCCUAAGUGUCGGUGGUAGCCCCAACAUUCCCACUCUAGGAAUGAGUCUAUCCCUACCGACCCCGUAGGCCUCUCGAUACCGCACGGCGAAUAUAGGUCGCGUAGGCUAACUCCGGAGUGCCGGCUUGUAGGGAGCGACCCUCACAAGCAUGUGCGAAUGAGCAGAAAUGGCAAGCACGCAUAGUCCAAGUCUAAAGUAUCCAAUCCUCAUGUCUCUAACAUGGUAUAGUCACUAGCAUCCCGAAGAUCUAGUUUAAGUCACAAUAUGAAGUUUCAACAUUUGCUACGCCUAGUGCCCCUUGAUGACACUUAGGCAAUUUGAUGUUCAACAUGUAUUCCAAAUCCCUCAAUGGCCCUAUCCACUAGGUUCUCACAUGUCCUGAGCUCAAUGCCGCUUGAUGACAUUAGCUCUCUAGUUCACAUACCUUCUAAAUGGCAAUCUUGUCAACUUUCAUGUCACAAUAAACUUAGGUUUAAAUGCAUGAGUGCAAUCUUAUUUACAUUAUAGGAGUAUGAAACCACAUCUUGUAUAGAAUGCUAAGUGCAACCAUAGGCCAACCAAGCUACUCUCUACUACAUAGAGGUCCAAAAUUUCAUCAUAUAUAACAUAGGCCUUUUAAGCAUUCUAAAAUUCACAAUAAAUACAUACAAUAAGAAUAUGCAUGCUUUUCCAUUUAACGAUACUUAAUUAAGCACAAAUGAGAAUUUCUCAUUGUGUGGCUAGGUCAAACCCACCGAACCGUCGCGUAGGGCCUCGUUUCGCCGAACAAAGUUGUCCCCGAAUCUCAAAAUACCCUAAAAGUAUUGAGCGACAAGAUACACGGGCAUUACGAUCAUCUUAUAUCAUCAAACAUUAACCUAGAAGCAAAAAGGGACAAAACUCACCUCAAGAGUAGAAAUCUUCUCCUAAGCUCCAAAAGAGAGCUAGAACCCUUCCAAUCCAAGCCCUAGGAAGGUUCUAAACCAACAAAUCAAGCCUCAAAAGCCCUAGGUUCAAAAAGCCCAAAAUAAACCCUAAGUCUCAAAACUAGGGUUUCAUCUCAAAGAAAGCUCUAAAAUCCAAAACUUGAGGAAAGGAUCUUGCCACUUACCUCUUAGAAGCCUCAAAACCAGCUCAAAGUCCUCAAACUUCAAGUGUCUUCCCUGAAUCAAGCUCCAAACCCAAGCUCCAAGCUUCAAAAAUGGUGGAAAUAGCUCCAAUAGGCAAAAGAGAGGGAAAAAUCAUCAAAAUCCAAGCUAGAAUGAGAUCAAAUCCAAAAGGUGGAAAAGAGGGGCUCCUUACCUUGCUCCUCCUCAGGUUCCAGCACCAGGGAGGCCCUAUGGGGCGUGGGUGCUGUUAUAAGAAGCCCACAAUCGCAAAUAAGCCCCUGCAGAACAAACUGUGCAGAAUCUGCCUUCUUGUAUCGGUACACGGGAUCUUGUACCGGUACAAGAGCUACGAAAAUCCAAAACCGAGGCUCGGGUGCGCGGUUCUGCGGCGCUGUACCGGUACAGACCCGAUGGCUGUACCGGUACAACCAUCAACAUUGUACCCGUACAAGACCACCCUUGUACCGGUACAAGCCCGCCAAACAGCCAAUCCGAGAGCUGACCAAAAUCCAAAUUUUUGGGUUUUGGUGCAAGGCUUUGUACCACACUCCUCGGGACACAUGCCAUAGGUCGGAACACAGUCAACGACCUACCAGGAAAUCUAGAAAAGCUCAGAGCACAGCUAAUCACUCGAAUCUCGUAAUUUGCAAAGGUCUAGUGCGUUACAGUUUGCUUAUAACAAUAGUUAUCAAGCAAGCAUCAAGAUGGCACCGUUCGAGGCACUCUAUGGACGGAAGUGUAGAUCGCCACUUCAUUGGAGUGAAGUUGGCGACAGAUUGGCCUUAGGCCCAGAUGUGCUCCAGGAGGUCGAGAACAAGGUUCGCAUUGCUCGAGAGCGACUGUUGACAGCCCAGAGUAGGCAAAAGAGCUAUGUUGAUCGGCGUCGACGAGACUUGGAGUUUCAAGUUGGAGAUCACGUCUUCUUGAAAGUCUCGCCGACUCGAGGGAUUAGAAGAUUUGGAAUCCGGGGUAAGUUGAGCCCCCGAUACAUUGGACCGUAUGAGGUUCUGGAGCGUGUAGGCCCGGUAGCGUAUAGACUUGCUCUACCGCCGAACCUAUCGGGUGUACACAAUGUAUUCCAUGUAUCGGUCCUUCGGAAGUACAUCCACUACCCGGCUCAUGUUUUGGAUGCUACACCAGUGGAGCUGAGGGAUGAUCUGAGCUUUGAAGAGCAACCCUUGAGGAUUUUGGCUCGCGAGGUAAAGAGAUUGCGGAACCGAAAAAUUUCCUACGUGAAGGUGCUUUGGAGCAACCACGACAAGCGCGAGGCCACUUGGGAGUUGGAGAGCGCACUGCGGGAGCGCUAUCCCCAUCUUUUUCAGAUGGAGGCUUGAGGUACUUUGUCUUUUUCGAGUUUUGCGGACGAAACUCUUUUUUAGGAGGAGUGAAUGUAGCACACUGGACCUUUGCAAAUUGCGAGGUUCGAGUGUUCGAGCUGUGUUCUGAGUCCUUCCAGACUUUCUGGUGGGUCGUUGACAGUGUUCCGAUUUAUGGCCCGUAUCCCGAGAAUUGUGGUUUAAAGCUGUGUACCAAAACCCGAAAAAUCGGAUUCUUGGCCAGCUCUCGGGUAGCCUUCAGAGGGUCUUGUACCGGUACAAGGUUGGUGGUUGUACCGGUACAAGGUUGAUGGUUGUAUCAGUACCGCCACCGGGCUUGUACCGGUACAGAGCCGCGGAACCCCCCAGACCCGAGCCUCGGGUUGAAGCUUUUCGUGAGGCUUGUACCGGUACAAGGGCCCGUGUACCAGUACAAGGGCCCGUGUACCGGUACAAGGUGGCAGAAUUUGAGCAGUUUGAACUGCAGGGGUGUUUUUGCGAUUGUGGACCUCUUAUAUCAACACCCACGCCCCUAGGGCUUCCUCCUGAGCUUGCCACAGCAGGAAUAGAGGUAAGGGAGCCCUCCUUGAUUUUCUUUUUGUUUUUCUUGGAUUUUGGUGGGAUUUUAAGAGAUUAAACUCCUCUUUUUGCUCGUUGGUACAACUUCACCAUUGUUGAAGCUUGAAGCUUGGAUUUGGAGCCUUGUUGAGGGAAGAUCUUUGGACUUAGAGAGUUUAGAGCUUGGGUUGAAGCUUCUAAGAGGUAAGCAUCAUAUUCUCUCCCUCUAGAUUUGAUUUUUGUUGAUGGUUUUGAGAUAAAACCCUAAAAUGGAGACUUAGGGCUUAUUUUUGGGCAUUUUUGAUUUAGGGCUUUUGGGGCUAAAUUAAUUGGAUUAGAACCCUCUUUGGGUUGUAUUGGAAGGAUCCUAGCCUUCUUUUGGAGCUUGUGAGAGUUUUUCUACACAUUAGGUGAGUUUUAGCCCUUUUGCCUUGUUGGUUAAUGUUUGAUUUUAUAGUUGAUCGUGAUGCUCGAGUAUCUCUUCGCUCAAUACUUUUAGGGUAUUUUGAGACUCGUGGACAACUUCGUUCGGCGAAACGAGGCACUACGCGACGGUUCGAUAGGUUUGACCUAGCCAUACAAUGAGAAAAUCUCAUUUGUGAAGAUUUGAGUAUCGUUAAUUGAUAAAGCAUGUAUAUUCAUGUUAGAUAUAUUUAUUAUGAAUUUUAGAAUGCUUAACAUGCAUACAUUAUGUAUAGUAAAUUUUUGGACCUCUAUGUGAUAGGGUGCAUGCAUGUGGGACGUAGCAUUCUAGUGGAAACUUAGAACCAUGAUUCCUAUUAUGAAAAUGAACAUUGCUUUCUUGCAUUUAACCUUAUGCCUAAUUGUGACAUUAGGGACUUUGGAAGCCUAGAGAGGUUUGGGGACUUAGGCUAUUUGAGAUUUUGGGCCAAUGUCAUAAAGAGGCAUUGGGCCCCGGGCUAUAGUGAAUAUUGGUAUUAACGUCAUAUUUAGAACAUAGAACAUGAAUUGAGCUUGAUUAGUUGUGAUGCUUAAGUGUCAUAAAGAGGCACUAAGCAAGUGGUGUUGAGAUAUCACAUUGUGACAUAGAGCUAGACCGUUGGGUUACUAGUAGCUAUUGCCAUGUUUGAGACAUGAGGGUUGGAUACUUGAGCCUUUGACUAGGUUGCUUGCCAUUUGUGCUCAUUCGCACAUGUUUGUGAGGGUCGCUCCCUACAAGCUGGCACUCCGGAGUUAGCCUACGCGACUUAUGUUCGCUCGUGCGGUAUUGAGAAACCUACGGGGUCGAGUGGGACAGAUACAUUCCAAGAGUAGGAAUGUCGGGCUACCACAGGCACUUAGGCCGCACAAGCUGGACUACUUUGGGUAGGCCCUUAUUUGGAAAUGGAAAUCGACACAGUGUUGAGUGUGUUAUAAUCACUACUAGAUAGAGAUUAGUAGUUGGAUUACUUGGACUUACUUCUAGCAUAGUAUUGGACACUUGAGUACACAUACGUACAUGUAGUAUGUUAGGAGAUGUUGCUUAUUGCAUUCAUAUAUACAUUGUUGCCAUGAUAAAGCAUGAUCCUUAUAACUUCAUAAGUGAACUGUGACAUUUACUUGUAGCCAUGUAGAGACAUAUUGGUUAUGACAAAGUAAAGGUGCAUUAUUUUUCAACACCAUGCUUAAUUGCAAUAUAGUAGCUUAGCAUUUUAAUUAUGCUCUUAUAAAUACAGUUUAUUCAUUAUUAUUGCUGUUUGCCGUAGUUACCAUUUUCUUUUGGGGCCUAGUGGUGCAUUGAGCUGAGGUUAGUAAUUGCCCACUGGAAACUAUAAUUUAUAGUUCUCACGCCCUCUAUUCUAUGUUUUCUUUCAGAGCCUUCCACGCCGGGAGAGGCUAGGGACCGUGGGAAGUGCGUUGCUUCGAGCUAGCUCUUCAGCGAGGGACGAGUUGCUAGGUGGUUUACCUCUCGAUGUAUUUUAUUUUGGGAGAGGUUGAGAGCUGUACCAGUGUACUAGAGACCACCCUUUGUGUACUUUUGGGACAGAUAUUGUACUACCUUAUGGUUUACUUUUAUUGUUUAGUUGUAUCAUUUUACUUUUGUUAUAGAAAGUAGAAUCUUACUGCUCUGAUAUCAUUAGUUUUUGCUCUUUCCUUUCGGCUAUGUUUCUUGCUUUAUUUCCGCUGUUGACGUAGACACCUUAUAUGUGUUGGCAUAUGGCGGGUCUGGGCACACUACCGGCAGGGCCUCUGCCGGUCCCGGGGCGUGACAGUAUCUACACUAAACAUCCUAUAUGCAUAAGUAACCACAUAUGAGAACAUGAUCAAUAAUACAACUUAGACAUAACCGGAAGCCCAACUGCUUCGAGAUAACACCCCCCACCUUCUGGUGGUGCCACGAAGAUAAGGUUCGAAUUUCGCGAUCUUAGGACGCCGCCUCGGUUCUUUAAGCGAAAACGAAGCCGAAACGCCCUUUUUGCUAAUAUCUUUGCGCAGGCUCGACGGAUCGCCGAACCGUCUUCACCACCGUGUCCGACUACCUAGUAAAUAGGCACAAAAGAGAUCAAUCCCAACCUUGGAUCUCUACUUUACAAAACCUAUUUUAGAACCCUAGGUCGGAACUAUUGCAAGAAUCCGACGUAUAACUUCGCGAUUCAAGCAAUAAUCACCUACUUAGCAUCUAGGGGUUCUAUAAAAACCAUUUCUAAGGUAUAAAACAUCAGACCUAGAAAUCUACCAUUAAAGCUCCAUGAAGCUUACCUCAAAACCUCGCUCCAACAACGAGGAAGAAGAUGAAGAAGACGAAGAUCCGACGUCAACUUCAAUCUCCUUCAAUCCCUUCACUAACUUCCACCCUUGGGGGAGCUUCUAGAGAGAGAAAAGAAGAAAGAAAUGGUGAGGAGAGAGUUCACUGGCUGUGAACAAGAAAGGGGGAGUUGGGGCCCUUUUAUAAGCUGCCACAAUUAUAUAAAAGCCCCUCAAACAAUUCCAAAUUGCAACAGACCCAACCUGCAGUUUUCUGCAGUUGGUACCGGUACACGGGCAAUCUGUCACCGGUUCAACGAUUACGCAGCAGCAACCCGAGAGCAGCCCUUUUCGGUCAGCAGUCUGGUACCGGUACUAUUUUGGUCUAUCACCGAUUAACAGUUGUUGUGUGUCGAUCGUCCCGACCCUUGACCUAGUCAAAGAUCUUCUUCGGGAAGCGCGUCGGGGCUGAAAUGGCUCCGAAAGAUGACCCUCGAAGUGUGUGCCCUUUUACUGAACAAGCGAUUCGGCUGAUGAGGGAUCCAAUUAGCCAGGUCUGAAGAACUCUAUUCUCUCUUUGGUUCGGCCGGAUGAGCCGAAUGUAUGGGAAAAGUCGGAAACUCAACCAGGAGAUGAGCCGAACGGCUAACACAACACAAGAUCUGGCCGGUCUGAAGAGCCGAAAAUGACUUUCUAUUGAAUGAACCAGUAGAGAGUACAGGAAGAAAGGUUUUAGUCUACAACGGAGUGAUGCCCCGGGGGCAGACAGACUCCAGGAUCCUAAAUUACCAAGCUACUCCUAGAAAAAGCAGUAAAUGCAGGAAAGAAAGAUGCGGUAAAAUAAGGGUGGUCUUUUGUUCGCAAGGAAAAAAUACCCGUUUUUAGGGUGUUAUUACCCUAUUUAUAGAUCGCCCCCUUGAUCAGUUAUUGCUCUUACAUGAUCGGUCAUUAUCUCCUCAUAUUCCGGAUCACCUCCAGCCGAUCGGAACCGCAUGUAACUGCUUGCGGUUACUGUAACUUCCUUCAAUUGGCGCGAUUUAGUUUCCUUUAAACUUUUUCGGUGCUCCGAUACCCCGGGGGCAGACAGACUCCAGGAUUCUAAAUUACCAAGCUACUCCUAAAAAAAACGAUAAAUGCAGGAAAGAAAGAUGCGGUAAAAUAAGGGUGGUCUUUUGUUCGCAAGGAAAAAAUACCCCUUUUUAGGGCAUUAUUACCCUAUUUAUAGAUCGCCCCCUUGAUUAGUUAUUGCUCUUACACGAUCGGCCAUUAUCUCCUCAUAUUCCGGACCACCUCCAGCCAAUCGGAACCGCAUGUAACUGCUUGCGAUUACUGUAACUUCCUUCAAUUGACGCGAUUUAGUUUCCUUUAAACUUUUCCGGUGCUCCUGGUGCACGACCGAAUAAAUGCUUUUGAAGGGAAUACCAGCAUCCCACCUGUCCGCGCCUAAUUGGCUCAACAACAGCCUUGACAGAGGCUAACCCGAGAGCAACUCUGCUCUCGGUUUCUGUAGUGUACCGAUGACACCCCUGGGCUGUCACCGGUUCACAACGCUCCAGAUUUGAUUCUCGCAUUGUUACGACUCCAAUUCACGCCGAGCAAUGCUAAAACCUCUCUAACUCUUUUGGAACUCAAUUUUAACCCUUCCAACAUAGUUGGAAUGUCAAAUGGAACAUGUCCAAGCAUCCGUCUCGCCACACUUUGGUCACUUUGACCAAAAGUGGAUUAUUACUAUGAGGAUUCGAUAUCUUACAGUUGGGGUAGUCGUGUACUCUAAUAUUAACCAAAAUGGUGAAUACCUUGCAAUAUACACGCAUUAAACAUCCUGAGAAAACAUUUGGUACACUUAUAAUUUCAUAUAUUACUGCCAUGCCAUAUUUUGCGUAAUACUGAAUUGCUACUUGUCUCUACAUUUGGAACACCUACAGGUCAAAAUUGUGUAAUCUAAAUAAAAAACUAAUAUCGUUAACGGCCAUAUAACUGUUGGGAUAAAUCAGAGCCUAUGUAAACAUAGAUGAUACAGCUAUUCUCUGGAUCUGCAAAUUGUCUUCACCUUCUUGAGGUGUAGAAGUAUAGCAAGUGUUAACCUGCAUGACCAGAUCUACCACUGGCUCACACCAUUAUGAUUGUCUCCGUUAUAGUGAAAUAUGAUUGUGUUGUCUGACUUUACACAUGCGCAAGAAUCCAUAUGUAGAUGUUCUUUUAUUAUAUAUAGAGGGAAUUAAGUAUGAUGCCAAAUACCAUCAAAAUCUAUGUAAUACCGCAUCAUUGUGCAUCCUUAGGUCAUUCUCUAGCACUGUUUGAGGCAUCAAACUGUGCGCAUAUGUUAAUCUGCAUAAUGAGACUGCCUACUGGCUCACACUACUAUUAUAAUUUUAGUCUAUAUUUAUAGUGAAAUGUGUACCAGGAACCACUAUUGUAAUGUACCAACUUCUUGAUAUAAAGAUCAGUGUAAAUAAAAAUAGUGUGAGAUACUAUUUUUAUUGAACUUAAAGAAGUAAAAUAUAAGUCGAAAAUGACUUGUGCUGAAAUUGGAGUGGAAACAGAAGAUUUAGAAUUUUCUGUAAAAAACGGGGAUGAUCUUUUAGCAGAAAAUUCACAGUGUCAGAAAAUUAUGAAAACUUGAGAAUAUGUCGGAAUUACUUUUAUGAGGCUAGAUUUAAUGUUUCAUGUCAUUCUAACAACUGGAAGGUGGAAAAUAAAAUCUGACUGUGAUCUACUAGAGAUUUUAGUCGGUAGAAUUUUUGGUGACAAAAAAUGGUCCAAACUGAAAAGUUAAGAUAUCUUUCUUCUUAUUAGUUUAAACCGAGUCUGACUGUCAAAUUUGAGUGCAAACGGACAUUCAAAAGGGCUCCGACGAAAAGUAUCAGAUUCUGAACUGCUAAACUGAAAUUGUAAUAGUGUUGGGGGACAUAUAUAUAAACCCACACAACUCUCUCUCUCAUUGGUUUUCAUCGAGCACGAGAGGAGCUUGGAGAGGGGUUUUCUUUCUCUUUAAAUCACUCUCCCUCUACUCUCUAACACUUUUCUCUCCAUUCCUCUUGUAAUUUCUCCAUUAAAGAGAGGUUUGGAGGAGCUUAAGGUUGCUUGGUGGUGAAGCAAGCCUUGGGGAGAAGAAGCUUCAUGAAAGCAAAGGAUUCAAGGUGAGACUUCCUUAAAGUUGAGUUAGGAUUUUAGUUAAAUCCUUUAAAAGUUGUUGUAUUUAGGAUCUAUAUAUGAUUUUAAGCUAGUUUAAUGAAGGGUUUAUCAUGAUUAAUGAGAUUCUCUUGAGGAAAUGGAAACCUAGGGUUGAAAUUGGGGUUUUUGUCCCUAUGAGGUUUUGAAUUAAAUUGACCCUCUAAAUAUCUAAUUAAAGGUUAGAAGAGCACGCCCAACAACUUUAAUUAGGAUGCGUAGCGGCCUCGGCGAUCGAUCGAAGGAAACAAAUUGAUUCAUGAAGAUUUGAGUUCGUUAGCCUUAAAGCGCGGCGAAUCGUCAUUGGGAGCCCGAUUGCAAGUGACUACAAGCAAUCGAAGAGCGUUACGAGGUGGGUUGUGCUUCACCGAAGUGAUUAGGUCAUUUCUAAGCCAAAGUGAAGUAUAAAUGUUGUUGAUGCAUGUAAAAUUGGUAGGUUGUAUAUGAUAAUAUAAAUGUAUAAAUCAUAUUAUGCUUGAUGUUGUUACCUACCAUGAGAUGCUAUAUGAAUGCAUGAAGUAGAAGCUAAUCAAGAACGCAUGAGAUAGAUGCUAGUAAUGAACAUAUGAGAUGUAUGCGAAGUGGAUGCAUGAGCUAGAUGCUAAAUGAAUGCAUAGAGUAUAUGCUAAGUGAAUACAUGAACUAGAUGCUAAGUAAAUGCAUGAGUUAGAUUCUAAUUGUAAAUGCAUAAGAUAUAUACUAAGUGAAUGUAUGAGCUAGAUGCUAAAUGAAUGCAUGAGUUAAAUGCUAAAUGAAUGCAUUAGGUAGAUGCUAAUUGUAAAUGCAUAAGAUAUAUGCUAAGUGAAUGUAUGAGCUAGAUGCUAAAGAACGCAUGUGAGAGUUGCUAAAGAAUACGUGGGACAUAUGCUAAUAAAGAAUGUAUGAGUUGUAUGCCAAAUGUAUAUUGAUUACUAUUGUGAUAAGAACAUAGGCAUGUGUAGGAAAUGUUAGAGAAUAUAUGCAUGUUGACAUAACGUGAGAAAAUGCUAGGUUCAUACGAGUGUGAACUUGGGUCGAUAACUCUAGGUUGUUAGAGAAUUCGACAAGUGUGGCAUGUCAAUUAUGAUUCCUAGGUAUGGACAACUAGGAAAAUAAGAACAUGAGUGGCAAUGAAACCUAGUGUUAUUAAACAUAGGUGAUUCAUGAGUGGCAUUGAACCUAAAGUCAAAUGAACCUAGGUAGCAAGGAGCAAGGAACCUAGUAUUGUAGAACCUAGGCUAUGAGUAUAGUGGCAUUAAGCCUAAUGUUAUUAAAUUUAGGUUGAGGAGUGACUUGAACCUAGAAAGGUUGUCAACAUACGGUAAGACCAACCUUGAGAUAUGAAAGUGGAUUCCGGAAUCUCAGGACUUGUGAACUCGACAGUUCUUGGCCGCGGGUGCGUAUGGCAUAUUCCCCUCCCAUCGGAAGAACUUCGAGUAUAGGCUUAUGGAUGAUUCUUGGCCGCGGGGGCUGUGUGGCAUAUUCCCUUCCCACCGGAAGAAUCUUGGAGCGCUAGGGUGUAUGUGGCAUGUUCCUCUCCCUAUCGGGGAUCUUGGGCCGCGGGUGUGUGUGGCAUAUUCCUCUCCCACCGGAAAGAUCCCUAACCACGGGUGUGCGCUGCUCUGAGCGACCCGUUGGGCGACGUGGUUUGUGGAAUGGUGGCUGAGGUGCAUGUGAGAGUUCCUUCACCUGGAGCUGGACAGAGCGCGGAUUAUUUGCAGUCGAUUGACUCAAGACCGAGUCGAGUGGCAUAGUUGGCUAAGGUAAAGGUAACCUUAGGAAAGAAUGACAAAUGAGUAUAAUAUGGCUAAGGUGGGAGUACCCUCAGUGAAGAAUAAAGAUUAGCUAAGAAUAAUAAAAAAAGUCAAAGAAUAAAGAAUUGCUAAUAAUAUAAAGAAUGGCAAAUGAUAGAGAGUAGAAUCAAUUGAUCUACUUGCAUAGUUGCAUGAUUUGCAUAGUUGCAUAUUGUGGGGCAUGAACAUGAUAAUUGCUAGUCGCAUAAAUUAUAUAUCUGUGAAUAUUUGUUGGACUAACAUAUUUGCAGUGCCUCCUUUGGACCUGGUGGGUCGAGCUCUUCCCUUGGGUGACCGUACCCACUGGGAACUAUGGACAAUAGUUCUCACCCCACAUUAUUUUGGGGGUUUCAGGUUCACACGCGAGUUGCGCGGCGGCGCGAGGAAAGGGCGCAGCUCCAUAGAUAGCGCCCUACCACUGAGACUAGAGAUAGCGGUACCCUGAGUCGACUACUUAGGGAUGUGAAAAAGGAAAAAAAAUCAAGUUGUAAUAAUUAUGUUAAAUGGGAUUGUAUUUGGAACUUAACAAGAGUUGAAAAUGUAAUAUGUAAAAUGUAUGUAUGUUGGAUGCUUGUAAUAGCAUAGCGUUUAUGUUUUUGAUACCUUCCUUAUGCAAUCUUUGUUUGAAUGCUGUUCCUGGUUGAAACCUCGCGCAUUGUAUGAUUGUGACGUCUUGGACGUACAGGGGAGACUCUGUCCGCGAUACAGGGGAAACCCUGUCCGUUCGGCGGUAUGUUGGCGUGCCCGAAUCCGACCAAAUAGGUGGGGCUCGGGGCGUGACAACUAUAGUCAAUCCAUUUCCAUAAGAAUAAGCCGUGAAGUAUCGUGUACCGUGCAGAGGUAUUCACCAUCCCAACAUCUUUUUGAGUGUUGAUAGUGUUAUAUCAAAUAUGACAAAUUCGUUUUGACCUGAAGGUGUAUUUAUACUAGUAUGCUACUUUUUGUAUACCCAUCUAGCAUAUAGGUACACUAAUACAGAAGUAAAGCACAAUAUUUAAGGACUUGCCCUGCAUGCCUAAAAGCGACAGCUAUAGAUUAACCGGUGCACACCUUUAAAAUUAUAGCAAGUACCUAAAUAAAUUAGUGACAUGUCUUCUCUUGCAAGUCAGUACAUACUUUGACUUGAUUCAUCCCGCAGGUGCUGACAGUGGGUGUCUCAUAUAUGUAGAUUCUACUAUUACAUGUCGGUAAUAUUACUUAAUGCCUGACUUAUGAAUAAUCUGCAUGAUAAGACAUGUCAAUUUCCUUUAGUAUUGUCUUUUGAGUUGGUAAAGGUGUACCUUAGUCCACCAGAGGUAUUCCAUUGGACAUUAAGAUAGGAAUGCACGGACAGACCUUCAUAAUUUAUUAAUAUAGCUAGCACUGUAUAAUGGGUAGGGGUGGAAACGAGCCGAGCUCGAGCGAGCUUACCUCAGCUCAAACUUGGCUUGAAGUUAUUUUCGAGCCUAAAUUUAGGCUCAAGCUUCGCUUGAAAUUAAUUCGAGCCGAGCUCGAGCGAGCCUAACUUCGAGUCGAGCGAGCUCGAGCCCUAAAUGAGCCGCUUAAAAUUCUUAACAUCAUGCAAUCUAUAAUUUAAUUUUUAUAAAACAUUAUGUAAAAUUUGAUACAAAAUGUCACGCCCCGGGACCGGCGGAGGCCCUCCCGGUANGACGAGUAGCUAUAAUUCUAAAGCUAAUACAAAAUAGUUGGGGAAGGGCUGGUUAAGUAGAGCUUCAGAGUAUUUUCAUCAUAAGCUGUAAGCUUUUACAACUAUGGGAGAUAGUCCUACGGGGGCGUUAUACAGGUAUUAAUCAACCACUGAUCACUUGCCAGAUCACGCUGUACCAGAGAAUAUGUUCCAUAAAACUUUGAGUUUCUGUGGAAGCAACUAUUUGUAUUGAACGUGGAGUAGGGUUAUUAGAAGGAGAAGUAGAUUCUUACGGUACUCUAAGCGGUGUCAACCUCUAGAUUUUUGAGCUGCUAACUAAUUGACUCAGUAGUGAUGUUAGGUUGUUUUUUUAUUUUUCGUUAAAAAUCUUUCUUACUUGUAAGAUUAUACGUACAAUUAAAUGUGUUAGAUUUUUACGACCUAAUACUUCACCGUUAAAGCUAAAGUCUACCGAGUCUACAUUUUUCCAAAUCUUAUUUUGACACCGACAUCACCCUAACCAGGUAAGAAGGGAUGGUAAAUGUAGAUGAUGGGAAAAUACGUAGUAACAGCUUUGUUUUUACACUAUACUUAUACGACGUAUUUCUCUUCGUUACCUGUUUUAUGAUGAUAAUCAAGGUUUACCAAUUCUUUAACAUUAAUAUUAUCCUUUUUUUACACGACGAUAGUCAAAGUAUACCAAUUCUUUUACGUUAGUAUUUUCAGGUAACUACAUUCGAUCGAAAGUUCACAUUCCCAAACGUUAUUUUACAAUAACCGUUGACGUCACCAGACAGGGACGGAGGUAUGGUAAAUAUUGUGGUAUAGUAACUGAUUUGAUGUUAAAUUAUGUUUUUUACGACGUAUUAAUCGUUAUCGUUACGAAUUUCUCGUUAUUGUAUCUAUGUAUUUCUCGUUCUUAUCACGGAGAACUAUACGACAGUAGUUAGUAAGAAUCAAAAGUUUCACGUUAUUAUAUCCACGUAUAUCACGUCCUUUUUUCUAAUAUACGACAGUAGUUAAGUAAUUUCUCUUUGACGUACUCAUAUCAAGGUAAAUUUCGUCUUGUAUUUUUUCUUUUUUAUACAACGGUAGUAAAGGUGUCUCUAUCUCUUGACCUUCAUAUUUCCAGUACAAUAAAUUCGUCCUAAUUCUCACUUUCCCAAAUUUUAUUUUACCACCGACGUUAUCAUCAGUAGGGAUGAAGGUUGGUAAAUGUAUUUUUCGUCCUUGUUACGGAGAACUAUAGCACGGUAGUUUAUAUCUAUCAAAUGUUUGACGUGUUUAUAUCUACGAAUUUAUCGUCCUUGUUUUUUAAUAUACGAUGGUAGUUAAGUUCUAAAAUUUAUAUUGAUAUAAUAUGUAAGUAUUCGUUUCAAUGUCUCCUUUUUAUACGACGGUAAUUAGGAAUUAGUCACGUUUUUGAUGUUAUAAUAUUCGGGGUAGCCAAGAUUAAUUAAAUUUUAUCGUUAUUAAUCAAAAAUUUGUCGUCCUAUAAUGAUAAAAUUUGUCACUUCAUUGUAGCAAGGUAUGUAAACUCAAAGGUUGAUGUAACUGGUAUUUAUCAUGCUAUUUCCUAUUGUAUUCGACGAUAGUUAAGAUGUAUCUAAUCUUUAUCGGUAUUAUAUCCUUUGAUUUUCUGGUAUUUAUAUCAUCAAAUCUAUGUUUUUUCCCGCUUUGUCAUCCUUGCAUUAAGUAUAUCCGGAACGAUUGGUGUAUCUUUUGGGUUUUAUAUAGUUCAAACACACGUUCCGGCGUUUUUGGUCCACCGUCUAAUUUCUAUAAAUAGAUCAAUCCUCCCUUCCUCCCACGCAGUCCGUACAAAGGUCACCGGUCGGCAACGUACUGGUGAACUGCCAGUUAGGUGUAUAUGUUUUAUAGAGGUGAGUAUCUGUACUUGUAACUGGAUAACGCGAGUAGGAACUUUCGCAGUGUACGUCUCUCCUAUCGAAGUUCUCUAUCUGGCCCUUACAAUAAAUCAGAAUGGUAUGUGAGGAGAUACCUCACUUCAAAACCUGUUCGCAGUUAGAGUGCGACAUCGUUAGCGAGUCGAUACAAGUUAGAAAAAAACGGUUCGAGUUGGUUGAGAACGUAUGUUAGUCUCAACAAAAGUUAAAAAGGAAAUGCCCAACUACAGCCACAUCAGAAUGCACUGCCUCCACUCCUUGCUGCAGAGAAUGGUCUUCUUCAUACUCGUCUUCGUGAUCAUUACACGCCUAAAGGUGAGAAUUGACCCCAACCUCACCCUCUUAUACUUCAACGUAGUAACUACGGUAGAAGUAAAACGCCGCUGUAACGGUACCCAUUAACCACCGAUGGUCUUCAAACGGGUACAGGACUUCCUGGCCGGUACCUAAAAGACUAAACGAGAUUUUACCGCCAACACGGGCCCCUACUACUACUGUACGAUGCUUGUAGGAGUGAAACGUAAGGUCAGCAUUUAGGUACGGAUGGGCAUCGUCACCAGAAAGGUCUAUUCUUGAGUUACAGGAAUAUACGUCCCUUGCCAAACAGGGAUGUGAAUCGUAUUCGACUUAAAAGAACAUUGUUAUAUUUUGUGUUACCAGUUGACUCUUUUGAUAUUAAUAUAUUUUUAAUUUUAAAGUUCUAUUAACCAAGUUGUUGUAUGGCGAUGGUGAUGUAAGGUUAGUGAAUCCAGCGGACGACAACCUUACAACGCUAGUAUUAGGGUUGGGGUAGGUGAGAAUAAUCGAUUACAAACUAUGUACUGCUUAACAGCGAAGUUGUGAAAAUCAGCUAAAACAUUUACCGAAAAUUGUUUCAAACGAAAACAAGCGUCCAACUUUAGUACUUAAUAAGAAGGGGUUCGUUCACCUCAUUUUGAAGGUAACUGCUUUAAAGGUUCUUGUACAAGAAGACAGUAGUUCAAGUUGUAACGGCUUAGGUACUGGAAACAGGUUAAAGGUCUCGCAUGAGACCCAAAGCUCUAAAGGACUGACACCGAAACCUCCGAAACCGAUAGUCAACUCCACUGUAGUUAUUGCAAAUACAAAACAGAAUGUUUUGCUACUUGAACAGAUAAAACUCCAUCGUAGACUUCAAUUAGUUGUAUAUUUAUUUAUUUAUUUAAUUGUUCAGCAGCACUUCAUGUCGAAUAUCAUUCAAUUGUACCGAAUCUUCUUUCCCCUAUUACUACUAGUGCCACCGACGUUACGCUUUUUGUACGGUGGGUUGGUACUUCAAGAUCAAAGAAUGGGUACGUAGUAGCAGAGUAAAAUACAGUUUAUUCCGUAGGUUGUUCCGUUGUCUCUUUCGUGGUGGUAAAGUGUUAUGGAGGUUCUAGUAUACGUAACUCAUGUACAAGUAGUCGUCUAUGACUAUUAAGGGUCACAAGUCGAUAUAUAUCUUGUACCAAUAAGGUCAAAAAAUUGACACAUCUUAACUACCGUCGUAUAGAAAUAAAAACAGGACGAUAAAUACUUGGAUAUAAUAACGUGAAACUUAUCUGGGUAUGUUUACUACCGGAUAGGUCUCUCGGAUUUAUUUUACGUUAUCCUUCUGUUUCUUUGUAUUAUAUUUAUCGUACGUUUUAAUAUAUUUUGUUGUUGGAACAGAAAGUUGUUAUAAUAAAUGAUAAUAAAUUUCAUCCGUGUAAUAUAAUGUCUUUAAUUCUUUUUAGACUACCAAAUGGAUUUUUAGAUUAAUAAAUUUUAGUUGAUAAUACUUGAAAAGUCGUAUUAUCAACAUUUUUUACUUAUUCUUUAUUUCAUUAUUCUGCUUAGAUCAUCUUUGGUUCUCUUUUCGUUCUGCAUUCUCAUCUACUUAAAAGCCGGUAUUAAUUAUGUGAGUUUGACUUCGAAAUGUUAACUUUAUUUUAUUAUUAUCCUUAGUUGUGUAUUUAUAUUUACCUCGUUAGUGAGUUGUACUUACUUAGCAGGAUACAUAACUUAACCAUCGACGUAUCCUGAUUAGGGUAUACGGAGGUUUAGUGUUAUGUAGACUUAAGUUUUUACGAAGUGACGAACAAUUAUCCUAUGUAGAGCAAGGGUAAGUUCCGGGUCGUAAUAGUUUCAAUCCGGUGUUCAAUGUAGUUUGAUCUAUUUUUUUUUGGGUGGAAACAUUCUAGUUCCUCGCGUUUAUGCUAAUUGAUAAGUCUACUCGUGUCACUUCCCAUCUCAAAGGAGUUGGUGUCUUAAAAACUCCCCAAACGUAGAGUGGGACCACGUAUGAUAAAUAUCCCUUCUUCAGUCCUGAAUGAUACAAUCCAUCCUCUUUUAUUCACAUCAAUUACCUCUGCUGAGCUGUUGAGCUUGAUUGUCGUUCUAGCCUCUUCUAUAGAAAGACAACACGUCGGUUCUCUCUAACGGAAUUAAUUACCGGCUAGAUGCGUCCCUUGGCUCGAAAACUUUUGUUAUCUACGCAUCCUCUGUAACGAAGUCCUCAUUUUCGUUUGGUGAGGUUAUUUAUCCCAAAACCCCGUCACUUCUUCUGCUAUUUAUCCCAGAAACCCCGCCACUUCUUCUACUGCGAUAGAAACCAUCCGCGCUCCGUCAUUUUUCCUUUUUUUUUCUUUACAAGCGGAUCCCUUCUCUUCUUCUCAUCCCUCUCCCCAUAUCUAUCCACGCUCCUUUUUCAUUUCUUCUUAGUGUUCUCCUUCUUCUGCUGCGUCGAAGAGCUCUUUUUCUACUUCUGCUUCUACCCCGUCCACGUUCUCAUUUCCCCGCUAUGCUUGCUCCGUUUCGUCGUUUUAUUUUAUCUUAAAGGGUAGGGACGGGGACCCUGUUUUAGAUUAAGGUCCCCACCCCCCCUUAAUUAGAAUUGCCCAAUAAGGUCAAAAAAGACCUUAUUGGGCGAAACUGGCCAUAUUCGAUAAGGACAGAAAAAAAAAACAAACCAUCUUAUAUAUCCUAUUUUAUGAAAUAGGAGACCAAUAAGAUAAUGGUUUGUAUCGGAAUACCAUAUUUUCACAAGAUUUGGGUUUUUGACUAUCGUCACAAGAUAAUUCGAAAUGCUUACAAGAUAAUUCAGUAUUCUCCCAUUCUAACGUUACGUAUAUACAAGCGUUGACGUUUGGACUAUUUUCACAAGAUAAUUCGAGAUUCUCAUAAGAUAAGAUGAUACUGUUUUCUCACAAGUGUUGGUGUUUUGAUAAUUCUCACAAGAUAAUUAGAAAUGUUGACAAGAUAAUACCGUGUUUUCACAAGAUAAGAUGAUACUGUUUUCUCACAAGUGUUGGUAUUUCGAUAAUUCUCACAAGAUAAUUAGAAAUGUUGACAAAAUAAUACCGUAUUUUCAUAAGAUAAGAUAUUACUGUUUUCUCACAGGUGUUCAUAUUUUGAUAAUUCUCACAAGAUAAUUGGAAAUGUUGACAAGAUAAUACCGUUAUUUCACAAGAUAAGAUGAUACUGUUUUCUCACAAGUGUUGGUAUUUCGAUAAUUGUCACAAGAUAAUUAGAAAUGUUAAUAAGAUAAUAGCGUAUUUUCACAAGAUUUGGGUUUUUGACUAUCGUCACAAGAUAAUUCGAAAUGCUUACAAGAUAAUUCAGUAUUCUCCCAUUCUAACGUUACGUAUAUACAAGCGUUGACGUUUGGACUAUUUUCACAAUAUAAUUCGAGAUUCUCACAAGAUAAGAUGAUACUGUUUUUCUAAUAAGUGUUGGUAUUUCGAUAAUUCUCACAAGAUAAUUGGAAAUGUUGACAAGAUAAUACUGUAUUUACACAAGAUAAGAUAAUACUAUUUUCUCACAAGUGUUGGUAUUUCGAUAAUUCUCACAAGAUAAUUGGAAAUGUUAAUAAGAUAAUACCGUAUUUUCGCAAGAUUUCGAAUUUUGACUAUCGUCACAAGAUAAUUCGAAAUUUUUAUAAGAUAAUUCAGUAUUCUCCCAUUCUAACGUUACGUAUAUACAAGCGUUGAUAUGUAGACUAUUUUCACAAGAUAAUUCGGGAUCUUUACAAGAUGAUACUGUUUACUCACAAGUGUUGGUAUUUCGAUUAUUCUCACAAGAUAAUUCGACAUUCAUACAAGAAAAUACCGUAUUCUCACAGUCUAACAGUUCGUAUGUACAAACGUUUGUGUUUAAAAUAUUCUCACAAGAUGAUUCUCACAAGAAUAUUCGAGAUUCUCAUUUGGGAAAUACCGUAUUCUCACUGUUUAACAUUGCGUAUGUACGAGUGUCGGUUGAUAUGUGCUUAUGUUUGUUUAAUUAAUAAUUAUGUUUAUAUGUUCAUACGUAUUCUCUUAUAUGAUCAUUGGGGUUUGUAUAAAAGAUAUGGAAAGACGUAUGAUCAUUGCGAUUUAUACAAAAGGUAGUAUUUGAUUCGUUUUAAAAUACUUUACGUACUUUAUAUACACACAAUGACACCUGCGUAGAAGAUUUGGGAUUUGGGAUUAAGAUUAGUAUUUAUGAAAUAAAAAUGUUUACGUUAUUUUUUAUAUUAUAUGGUCGUCACAGGAUUUUUAUUUUAAUUAGUCGAUCAGCCACUGCUUUAGGCCUCGUGCAUUUCUGUUUGGGUUGGACGUUGGGAUUUGGGAGUUUUAUAUCUUAAAUAUAAUUUAAAUUUUAAAAUUUAUUUUCUAAUAUCUUUAAGUUUUUAUUACGGGACAAACUCAACUUAGGAGACAAGCCAACAACGGCUUAAUCGAGGCUUUAGCAAAAGUUAAAACCUGCGUGUACUCACGUCCUUACUCACUGUCCAUGACCCUACUUAUCCCCUCGUUAACUCUCCGUUAGAGGAUGGUUACCUCUCUCCGCUCCCGCUCUCUGUGGAAGCUCUGCCGAAACCUGUGCUCUACACACCUUGCUCACGACGGAUUGAAAACGGGCUACCUCAACUCACGGGACGGUCACUCUCGCUCUCUUUCUCUCUCCCUUCUCGCGCUCUAGUUCUCUCUCCGCUCCCUCACUCUCUCUCUCGCUCUUUGCCUCUCUCGCUCUUAUUCCACACGCCCUCUCUCUCUCUCUCUACACAUGAUCUUCCCAUAUCGAAAUCCUUCUUUAUUUUUCCCCUCACUUCAAUCGACGAUGAUGACACGAUCACGGGAUUAUAGUCGGCAACCUAGUAUGCCCACAUCCUACAUGUGGAAAGAUUUCAUCAGACCGAUCUCAAAAGGAUAAAAUAUCAAUAUAUUAAAUAAAUUAAAUAUAAAAAUAUAUAUUUAUUUAUUAAUAUAUAUUAUAUAUAAAAAUAAUAAAUUAAAAAUCGUUUUAUUUUUAUAUUUACGCUCGAAUUAAUAAUUUUUUAUGUACAUUUCAAAGUUAAUAAUCUAGUUUCAGAUUACCUAUUCUAAAAUAUUUAAAUAAAAAAUAUAUAUAAAUUAGAUUAAAAAAAAUUAAAUAACAAGCAACCGGUCGAGCACUCGGUCGACCAUAAGCCGAGCAAUUAUUUGCUCAACUUGUGCUCGAUUUAAAAAGCCGAGCUAUGAAAUUGUUCGAUUAAGCACAAGAUGAGCAAAUUAUUUGCUCGGCUUGUUUUCGGUUGGGUCGGGCGAGCACAAGCAGAGCAAAUGUGGGGAUGGACGUUCCGACGUUGCGACGACCAGCAACCGAGCCCUGUAAUCUUGUUCGUCGUCAAAGGGGCUUCUGGUGAACGUUUCAGAUUUCGGGUGCAUUUUGGGGGGUGUUCAUUUGGGGAGCUAGGUCAGGAGGGAGCUAGAGAAGGUUACGGCGGGUGAGAGGGAGAAGUGGCGGCGGCGGAGGAGGAGGGCAGGGUGGUGAUGCCACUGGUUUAGGCGUGGAAGCAGCUGCGGGCGCACUUCACCCACGCCCUGGCGCGGGAGCUGGUGCGGCACCUCUUCCUUUUCGUGGAGGUUGGGAAGGUGCGGGAGUUUCUGGAGGAGGAGGAGAGGCGGCGUAGGAGGAGAGGAAGAGGAAGAGGCAGAGGCAGGGAGGGGGAGAGGAGGCAGCGGCGCGCGGCGAGGCUAGAGGCGGAGGGGAAGGCGCGGUAGGCGAAGUAGGCGGAGAAGGGGAGGCGGAAGGAGCUUCUGGAGGGGAGCAGCAGCAGCAGGAGGAGAGCAGGGGUGGGGCAGUAGGCGGUUUUAUAAAACAUUAUGUAAAAUUUGAUACAAAAUGUCACGCCCCGGGACCGGCGGAGGCCCUCCCGGUAGCGUGCCCAGACCCGCCAUAUGUCUACACAUAUAAGGCGUCUACAAUAAAAGCGGAAGUAAAAGCAAGUAAUAGAACAAAUAGAAGAAGUGAAAUAAUGAGCAGCUAAUGAUAUCAGAGCGAGUAAAGUUCUAACAUCUACACCAAGGUAAAAAAGAAUAAAGCUAGACAAUAAAAGAAAUCAUAAGUAGUACAAUAUCUGUCCCAAAAGUACAAAAACGGUGGUCUCUAAUACACUGGUAGAACUCUCAACCUCUCGCAAAAGGAACAAAAAAUCGAGAGGUAGACCACCUAGCAACUCGUCCUCGAAGGAAGCUAGCUCGAAGCAACUCCCUUCCCGCGAUUCCUGGCCUCACCCUGAGUGGAAGGCUCUGAAAAACAUCGAGAAAAAGAGGGCAUGAGAACUAUAAUUUAUAAUUCCCAGUGGGCAAUUACUGACCUCAGCUCAAUGCACCACUAGGCCCCAAAAGAAGAGGGUAAGUACAAUAAUAAUAGCAAUAAAUAGCGAACACGAAACUGCUGAAGGAAGCAUGAAUGAAAUGCUAUGCUACUAUGUCUCCAAUAAGCAUGAUGUUAUGGUAAUGUACAUCUACGCUAUCAUAAGGUAAUAUAUAUCCGAUGCAUACUAAUAUGUCUCAACAUAAAAAGCAAGUAAACCUCACGAUGCCAUAUGUCAAUGCAUAAGGGUAAACUUUAUCCAAACAACCGAGUAUGCUACGAUGCGAUAAUGAAACCGGCAAGUAUACUAAAUGUACCAAUGCUAUAUCAUAAGCGUGUCCAAGUAAUCCAACUACUAAUCCUAUCUAGUAGUGAUUGUUCAUAUUCAACACCGUGUCGAUUUCCAUUUCCAAUUAAGGACCUACCAAAGGUAGUCCAGCUUGUGCCGCCUAAGUGCCUGUGGUAGCCCGACAUUCCUACUCUUGGAAUGUGUCUGUCCCACUCGGCCCCGUAGGCUUCUCAAUACCGCACGAGCGAACGUAGUCGCGUAGGCUAACUCCGGAGUGCCGGCUUGUAGGGAGCGACCCUCACAAGCAUGUGCGAAUGAGCACAAAUGGCAAGCAAGCAUGGUCCAAGUCUCAAGUAUCCAAUUCUCAUGUCUCUAACAUGGUAUAGUCACUAGCAUCCCGAAGACCUAGUUUAAGUCACAAUGUGAAAUUUCAACAUUUGCUACGCCUAGUGCCCCUUGAUGACACUUAGGCAAUUUGAUGUUCGACAUGUUUUCCAAAUCCCUCAAUGGCCCUAUCCACUAAAUUCACACAAGUCCUGAGCUCAAUGCCGCUUGAUGACAUUAGCUCUCCAAUUCACAUGAUAUCAAGUUCGAUGCCUACAUAUGAAGCAAUUGUCAUCUUUCAUGUCUCAAUUAAACUUAUGUUUAAACGCAUGAAUCAUAGCUCAUUUACUCUCUAGAACCAUGAAAUCAAACCCCAUAUAGAAUGCUAAAUGCAACCCAAGAUCUCCCAAACAACUCUCUACUACAUAGAGGUCCAAAGAUACAUCAUAUAUAACAUAUGCAUUUUAAGCAUUCUAAAAAUCAUAAUAAAUACAUUUAAUAUGAAAAUGCAUGAAUUAAUUAGUAACAAAGCACUUAUCACCAAAUAUGAGAUUUUCUCAUAUCAAAGGCUAGGUCAAACCCACCGACGACAACGAAGCUUUUCGUUUGCUCCAACGGAGGUUUCCACAAGCUUUCUAGCACCCUAAGAACAUCAAAAAGGGUGUCAUCCAAUCGAUACGAAGAGUAAUAAGCUCGAUCUUUAACCUAGGAGCAAAAAGGGUCAAACUCACCUCAAGAGUAGAAAUCUUCUCUUAAGCUCCAAAAGAGAGCUAGGGUUCAACCAAUCCAAGCCCAAGGAAGGUUCUAAACCCACCAAUCUAGUCUCUAAAGCCCUAGAAUCAAAAUCCCCAAAAAUAAACCCUAAGUAUCAAAUCUAGGGUUCCAACUCAAAAUUUAGCAAAAACAUGGAUCAAAGGCUCAAAUCAUGUUGCUAACCUCUCUAGAAGCUUGAGUAUUCUAUAGUGUCACCUAAAUAGCUUGGNUAAUAGAGAUGCCACAAUUGCGAAAAACCCCCUGCAGUUCAAACUGCUCAGAUUCUGCCAAAGUGUACCGGUACACGGGAAAGUGUACCGGUACACAUCCUACGAAAACGCAAACCCGAGGCUCGGGUUCGUAAUUUGCCACAAGUGUACCGGUACAACCAUCAAGCGUGUACCGGUACAAAGUGUGUACCGGUACGGCCAUCAAGAGUGCACCGGUACAUCUUGUGCAGAAUGCAAUCCGAGGGUAGGCUAAGUCCAACUUUUUUUGUGACCUUAGCGCUACAUAAAAUACUACAAUUCUCGGGACACGAGCCAUAGGUUGGAACACUGUCAACGACCCACCAGGAAGUCUGGAAAGACUCGGGACACUGUCCAAACACUCGAACCCCGCAAUUUGCAAAAGUCCAGUGCGUCACACAAAAAAUGUCUAAUAGUUCAACAUACAAAGUAAAUGCAUGAAAUACGAUAUUAUAAUAUUAAAAAAAUUAAAAAAAGCGACUCUACGAGGAAGUGAAAAAGAUGUAGAGAAAUUAUAGUAGUAUUUUGCUGGUUUUGUUUUGUGGGCCCAAUAAUCUAAAUUUUAUAUACAUAUAAUUAAAAUACAUAAUAUAUAUUAUUUUAUAUAAUUAAAAUAUAUAUUAUAUAUAAUUAUACUUUUAUGAGUAUAGACUCCUUUAUACUCAUAAGUUUUCGACCAUUAGAUCUAUUCUUUUGACUAUUUUCAUCCGUUUAAUCAUACUAUUCAAUGAACCACCCACUCAAUCCUAGGGGACCACUAUCAUCCUAAUCGCACAUCCAACGGCUAAAAAUUUAAAAUAUAAAGGGGUCUAUACUUAUAAGAGUAUAGUAGCCCGAGCCUAUAUAUAUAUAGAAUAGGCUACUAUAGUAUUAAUAGUACAAACCGCCUGCUAUUAGGUUUUCGGCCCUUUGAUGAAGGGAUGUGCGGUCAGGAUGAUAGUAGCCCCCUAGGAUUGAGUACGUAGGUGGCUAGUUGAAUAGUAUGAUCUAACGAAUGAAAAUGGCUAAAGAGAUAGAUCUAACGGCAGAAAACUCGAUAGCACCAAAUGCUUGAUACUAUCGAUAAUGUAGUAGCCGGACUCUAUAUAUAUGUAGUCAGAUCUAACGAUAGAAAACUCAAUAGUACAAAGUGCUUAGUACUAUUGAUAGUAUGGAUAGUAUAGUAGCCGGACUAUAUAUAUAGAGAGAGAGAGUCUGGCUACUAUAUUAUCGAUAGUACCAAAUGCUUGGUGCUAUCGAAUUUUAUGCCAUUAGAUCUAUCUUUUUGGCCAUUUCCAUCCAUUAGAUCAUAUUAUUCAACUAAUCACCCACUCAACCCUAGGGGAUCACUGUCAUUCUAACCGUACAUCCCUUCAUCCAAGGGCCGAAAACCUAAAAGCAAGUGGUUAGUACUAUUAAUAGUAUAGUAGACUAAUUUUAUAUAUAUAUAUAUAUAUAGAACUAGGCUACUAUACUAUCGGUAGCACGGAGGCCUCCGUGCUACCAAGUUGUUUUCAAUGAUGUGGCUUCCAAAUCGACGAUCGGCUCCGUUAGACUUGAUCUACACUAUUAAAAGUAUUUAGAAACUAAAUUUCAUAAUUUUUCGAUAUCAUUUACCUAUCAAACAAGUAGUCUAAAAUUGAACGGCUGAAAAUAAAAAUCUCAUAAAAAAUAAAGAUAAAAGAUUUAAAUUCAAGAUCAGAUAUACUGAUCUUACUCUAAAUAGUGAAAAGAAUUUUCUAUAAAAUUUUCAUCGUAUUUGGAUUGUUUUACACUGUUAAACUCACAAACACACCACAUCGGCCAUUAAAAUUGUCAAUUUUUAGAUCUUUUGAUCACUAGUCAAAUGAUGUCGAAAAAAUCUAAAAUUUAGUUCCAAAUACUUUCAAUAGUGUAGAUCAAGUCUAACGGAGUCGAUCGUCGAUUUGGAAGCCACAUCAUCGAAAAUAACUUGGUAGUACGGAGCCUUCCGUGCUACCGAUAGAUAUAUAUAUAUAUAUAUAUAUAUAUAUAUAUAUAUAUAUAAAACUAGGCUGGAAUACUAUCAAUAGCACCAAGCUAUUGAUGCUAUUAAUUUUUUAGCCCUUGGAAUGAGAAAUGUGUGGUUAGGAUGAUGUGGGCCCUCUAGGGUUGAGUGAGUGGUUGGUUGAAUAGUAUAAUCUAACGGAUAAAAAUAAUCAAAUGGUUAAAUCUAACGGUGGAAAACUAUAAUAUCCGAGAUUUUGAUAGUGUAGCUAAACCCUUUGUUGACGAUAUUUUUGUGUGUAAUGUAGUUACAUAACCACUCGUCAAGUUUCAGGGAAAAACGAGUUAGAUGGAGAAGUUACGCAACCGAUACUAAUCACUUAAAGUGAAUAGUAACUCCGGUUUUCUAGAGAAGCCAAUGAGUGGAGAAGGCUUUUGGUGUGUAUUGGACUCCGUUCAUAGUGAUCCAAUAGCUCGUUUUCGAUGGUUUGACUAUCCUGGACCCAAUGGCACUGACAGAUUUGGAUUCUGAUGCACGAUUUUCGAGAAAAAGAGUUUUAUUGGAUCUAUUUGUAUAGGUAUGGUUUUUGGAGAUUGGAGAGGGUUGGUUAUGUCGCAAUCGGUGAUCGAAUCGGACGAAACGAAAUCGUAGAUUCGAUGCCCCAGUCAUGCUGAGCGCGCUGGCGUGAUUCGUUUGGAAAUCCGACGGACGGAUCUGCGAGGAACGUGAAAAGUUCAUUGAGGGGUCGAAUUGGUAAAAAUGAAAAAUUCGUGAAAAGUCUAAUAUUUUAUGCGCCGUUUUGCGUGAAUUCGAACGUCGAGGGGCUCGUGUGCAAAAUACACGUACUGGCAGGGGACUUAGCUGUAAACGAUCAGCCUUGGGUGGACUUUUCUGCAAUUAUGCACAUAGUAUAUAAAGUGCAUCUAGGGUUUCCUUGCAUGAAACCCUAGAUUGAUUCCACCCUGAUCCCCCAGCUAACCCUAGCCAUCGCAGCACCCACCCACCUUGCUCGUGUGCACGCCCCUACCGUCGGCGGGCACCCCCGGUCACUGGAAAAGCCACGCCGACCUCCCUCUUCGCUCCUCCCUCUACCGUGCCUCCACCACUUCGGCCGUGAAGCUCAGGAGAACACCCCCUUGAGUCAAGUCUGAGUUCUCUGGCCAAGUCUUCCCCUCCGGCGUCAUCCUCGCCGGCUCCCGCCCUCCGCGUGCGCCGCUGGCGCCGCUAGGACUCGCUGCGGCCGCCCAGACCCAGAGCAGGCCGAGCCGAGAUCACCCUGGCCUCGGUGCGUUGCCUCUACCUAUGAUCGGUGGGGCCGGCCUCCGACAAUCUCCGGCAACACUCUGCUCGCCGUCCCGUCGUCCCGAAGCGCCGCCGGCCGCCCUCAGUGCUCCCUGCGGCCGCCCAGACUCAGUGCGGGCCGAGGCUGAGUCACCUCGGCCACCGCGUGUCGCUGCCGCCCAACGUCGACCACACCGCACUCCCUCGGUCGCCUUCGCCCUGAAGCUCCUCCGGCCGCCACUGCCUUCCCGAACCCGAAUUGAGCUGUUCGAGCUCGUGCUUUGCCCCCGCGCCAUUGGCCGCCUCCCGCAACCGGCCAGCACGCGCCCAACUCCUCUCCGACUGGCCGCGACCUCCCCCUGCCGGAGCGCCCGCCGUCCGGCCACCGCCGGUCACCCUCGGGCUCCUGCUUGCUCCAGUAAGUCUUUAACAGUAUUCUGCACUUUAUUUCGGGUUCCGGUCGCCUUUCCGCCGAUCCGAAGGCACCCCGAUAAUUCUGGAACUGAGCACGACGAUCUCUGAUCCGUGCUGAACAUCGUGCUCACCUCCGUUGGGGUCAGCGAUAACCCGGUUUGCAAGUUAGAUGCGAUUUAGGCGUUGUGCGCGCUGUUUCGCUGAAGUUCGCGUCGCUCGUACGCUUGCCUCAAUGGCCGGCAGUGCUCCGAAGCAUGAGCAUGGCCUCCGGUACGCCGAGACCUAUUAGCGGAUGUCUUGGCCUGGCUGAAUGACCCUCAGUUUGCACUGUCGGGUCAUAAAAGCCCGAAAAUCACAUAAAGUAAUGUGAUAUUAUGGGAUCGGGAGGGUUUUUACGCAAUUGUGCUUUUUGUGGUCGCUGUUGGCAGUGUGUGCGGGCAGUGGGUGACCUUUGGACUGAUUGUCCAAGACUCUAGGCCUUUUUAGAGAUCGAAAAUUGAUUUCCGGUGCGUUCUUUGGUGAAAUCCGCCGACGGAAUACGUUUUCGGUUCGGAAUUCUUCCGACGGUGCCUCGUGAUAAUUUGUGUCGUCGCUGAGCCUUGUUGGCUGGUUACCCGCUUCGUUUCGAGGGUUCGAAAACGACGGGUGAGUGACGGUGGGUUCCGGUGUCGAAUUGGACAUUUCCGGGAACCCGGAUCGGAGCGAUUAUCCAAUGAUAAUCGUUUCGGGGUGAGUUAGUGUAUUUGCUGCCAAGUCACAUGAACAUAUGUGUUUAGUGGCAGCGGGUGACUCAUAACAUGAGUCGGUGAAUUCUGGGACAGUUCGUGGGUCCCGGCGGAGUCUCGGUGCGGUUUCGGGACUUCCGGCGUGUUCGGCAAUCGGUUUUGGGAAACCGAUUCCGUAGGUUCGUUGGUGGGAUUGGUUUCGAGCUAGCUCUUCAGCAAGGGACAAGUUGCUAGGUGGUCUACCUCUCGAUGUAUUUUAUUUUGGGAGAGGUUGAGAGCUGUACCAGUGUACUAGAGACCACCCUUUGUGUACUUUUGGGACAGAUAUUGUACUAUCUUAUGGUUUACUUUUAUUGUUUAGUUGUAUCCUUUUACUUUUGUUAUAGAAAGUAGAAUCUUACUGCUCUGAUAUCAUUAGUUUUUGCUCUUUCCUUUCGGCUAUGUUUCUUGCUUUAUUUUCGCUGUUGAUGUAGACGCCUUAUAUGUGUUGGCAUAUGGCGGGUUUGGGCACACUACCGGGAGGGCCUCUGCCGGUCCCGGGGCGUGACAGAUUAGUUUGGUAUUAGAGACUAGGGUUGAGUCUUAGUGGACCUAGCAAACCUUAGGCCGGUUGGACUAUAGGAAUUAGGCUCGUGAGAGACGAGGUCUAAUUGACUUGUGCGCGAAAGUAUUAUGAUUGGGUUUUAUGACAACUCUAAAAAGUUAGAGUUUGAUCGAAGUGUAUGGCUUCUAACUUCGCGGAGGGUUACGUUGGCGGCUGAUAACGUAACAUCGGGAGUUAGUAGUGGAGGACACUUCCUUACUUUCGCACGAUUUGGGUUUUAUCUAUUUGAGCGGGGAUGCGGUAGCGUGGGUUACUAACUUGCGCUUUUAUGUUUUGUAGUGACGAUGCCGAUUACACGCUCCCAGUCUGCCGGAGCGGAUGAUGCAGCACACCCCGAGGAGGCCGAGACCUCCGCUACUUCCGGAUCUAGUGAGGUCCGUGACUUAAGGUCCCAGCUUGCAGUCCUCACCGAUCUGUUGGCACAGCAGGCGGCAGCGACGCAGCGACAGGCUGAGGUGGCUCAGCGGCAGGAGGCGCGGAUGAAGCAUCUUGAGGACCUCCUACUUCAGCAGGCGGCAGCUUCGAGGGAGACCCAGGUUCCCACACCGCCAGCACCCGUGGUGGACGUCGCACCGAGGGCGCAGUCCCCCGCGCCCAGUUCUUCACGUGCGGCACCGGCGACCACACCUCUUGAGGAGGUGGCUGCGGCACCCCCAGUUCAGAGACCGGCCACGGGGGCAGCUUUUCCCGUGAGGGCUGAGGAAGCCGAGCGGGAUCAGCUCAUGGAUCGCCUCAGUGAGUUCAGGAGGUGCAGCCCGAGAACGUUUGAUGGCGAGAACGUCGACCACUGGAUUGUUGAGAAGUGGUUGAUACACAUGGAGAAGCUUUUUCGAGACACCUUUGUGGAGGAGCGGGACAGAGUUUUGCUUGCCACUCACUUUCUCGACGGCGAGGCCUACCGUUGGUGGUUGGAUAUCCAGGAUAACCCCAACACCGACUUAGCAGCGAUUACUUGGACGAGGUUCAAGGAGCUCCUUCUGGCGCACUACUUCCCGACCAGCGUCAAGAGGAAGAUGGAGCAGGACUUGCGCAGCUUGCUCCAGGACGAACGGUCGGUGGCCGAGUACGAGAGGGAGUUCUCUUGGCUACUUCAUUGUGUACCAUUUGUUGAGAGGGAUGACGAGGACAAGGCCCGCAUUUUUUAGCGCGGAUUGCGGCCUUCUAUUUUCCGGUUGGUGCAGUCUUCCAACCUCCAGACCUAUCGGGAGGUUGUGAAUCGAGCAUUGAUUGUAGAGGCUGGAGCGGUAGAUCUUCAGGAGCGUCGCGAGAGCUCGGAGAAGGGGAAGGGAAAGAGGCCCGCGGCUGAGGAUGCGAGUCAGACGCACUCACGGAGGCCGCCGAGGCACCCCAAGAGCCGGAGCCGGAGCCGGGGACGUGGCUCGUCUACUCAGCGAGGAGGACCCGAUCGUCGCCAGGCUUCCCGCUGCGUGAUCUGUGGUGGUCCUCAUUACUCGCUGCAGUGUUCACGCAGUCGGGGCAGGUGCUUCUUGUGUGGCCAAGAGGGCCACUUUCAGUCGGACUGCCCGAGGAGUCCAUCGCCAGCGCCAUCUUCGGCAUCUGCACCAGCAUCGCCAGGUCCCAGUUAGGGGAUAUCUUCUGCACAUCACCAGGCCGGGCGGCCGCCAGUUCUACGGCAGGCGGAGGGGUCACGACAGGCCCCGAGCGGGCGCAUGUAUGCAGCCCAGACUGAGGAGGCGGCGGCAGCCGAGAAUGUGGUCGCAGAUAUCAUUUUACUUUAUGGUAUUCGAGUUAGAGCAUUGUUUGAUACUGGUGCAUCGCAUUCAUUCAUAGACCGGCUGUUUGCCGAGUUGCAUGGCAUCCCACUUGUAUCUUUGUUGCACCCGGGCCGAGUUAUUGUACCUGACCAUUCCUUGGACAUUCGGGAGUUUUGCCCCAGUUGCCCUGUUCGGGUUGGAGAUUGGACCAUGCUCGCGGACUUGGAGUUUGAUGUUGUGUUGGGCAUGGAUUGGUUGACCAAGUACUUUGCCACCAUAGAUUGCAAAAAUCGAACGGUGACAUUUAGAGAGCCGGGGCAGGCGGAGGUUGUGUACCGAGGAUGCCAGAGUUCGCUGUUUGCGAUGACGAUUAGCUCUUCUCGAGCUCGACAGUUGAUUAGUAGAGGCUGCGUAGCCUACUUGGCUACUGUUGUGCUACGGGGUGAGGAUGACACCCCCAGGAUUGAGGACAUCCCCGUAGUACGGGAGUUUGGAGAUGUGUUCCCAGCUGAGCUUCUGGGCAUGCCACUGGAUAGGGAGAUUGAGUUUGUAAUGGAUCUCGUUCCCGGGACUACUCCAAUCUCAAAGGCACCCUAUAGGAUGGCACCAGCAGAAUUGAAGGAGCUGAAGGCACAGUUACAGGAUCUUCUAGACAAGGGUUUUGUGCGACCGAGUGUGUCACCUUGGGGAGCACCGGUUUUGUUUGUGAAGAAAAAGGACGGAUCACUUCGCUUAUGCGUGGACUAUCGUGAACUUAACAAAGUCACGAUUAAGAAUAAGUAUCCGUUGCCGAGAAUCGACGAUCUAUUUGAUCAGUUAAAGGGAUCCAGUGUGUAUUCCAAGAUUGACUUGCAGUCGGGAUAUCACCAGUUGAAGAUCAAGCCUGAGGAUGUGUCGAAGACGGCUUUUAGAACACGGUAUGGACAUUAUGAGUUUACUGUGAUGCCGUUCGGGCUUACUAAUGCCCCGGCAGCUUUUAUGGAUCUUAUGAACCAUGUGUUUAAGCCUUAUUUAGACAGGUUUGUCAUGGUGUUCAUCGACGACAUUUUGGUCUAUUCCCGAAGUGAUGCGGACCACGAGGAACACUUGAGACUUAUACUUCAAGUGCUUCGGGAAAAGAAGCUCUAUGCCAAGUUGAAAAAGUGUGAGUUUUGGCUUAGAGAGGUGGCGUUUCUAGGCCAUUUGAUUUCAGGAUCAGGGAUAGCUGUGGAUCCAAGAAAAAUUGAAGCUAUCAAGGAUUGGCCGAGGCCGACGUGUGUGACCGAGAUACGGAGCUUCAUUGGUUUGGCCGGCUACUACCGACGGUUUGUUGAGGGAGUUGCAAAGUUGUCUACUCCCCUCACGAGGCUCACGCAUAAAGGCACCAAGUUUAUUUGGAAUGAUGCGUAUGAAAGGAGCUUCCAAGAGUUGAAGCAAAGAUUGACGACCGCCCCGAUCCUAACCUUGCCGACUGCUGGAGCAGGGUAUGUGAUUUAUAGUGAUGCUUUAUUUAAUGGAUUAGGUUGUAUCUUGAUGCAGGACGGAAAAGUGAUUGCUUAUGCAUUCCGCCAAUUGAAGGAUUAUGAAAGGAAUUACCCCACUCACGACUUGGAGUUGGCGGUCGUGGUCUUUGCAUUGAAGCUAUGGUGCCACUACUUAUACGGCGAGCGAUGUGAAGUGUAUACGGAUCACAAAAGCUUAAAGUAUUUAUUCACUCAGAAGGAGUUGAACUUGAGGCAGCGCAGAUUGUUGGAGCUACUCAAGGAUUAUGAUCUCACGAUUCUCUACCACCUAGGCAAGGCUAACGUGGUGGCUGAUGCGCUAAGUAGGAAAUCGACGAAAAAUUUAGCUAUAUUUGUGGUGACUCAACUGCCGUUGAUCGAGCAGAUGAAGCGAUUGGAGUUGGAGGUGGUGGCUCCUGACACACCUUUGAGGCUGAUGAUUUUGGUGGUGCAACCUACACUUAUGGAAAGGAUUAAAGAAAAGCAAGCUUCCGAUGUGGAGUUGCAAAGGAUUCAAGCUAAGAUGGUUGAUGGUUGCACCGGUGACUUCACUUUGGACGGUGAUGGAUUGAUGCGAUUCCGCAGAUGGUUGUGUGUACCGGCGGACUUGAGCAUUAAAGAGGACAUUCUUCAUGAAGCACACCAAGCACCGUAUGCUAUACAUCCGGGAGGCACCAAGAUGUACAAGGACUUGAAGUUGCUUUACUGGUGGCCCGGGAUGAAAAAGAAAGUUGGUGAGUUUGUUGCUAGAUGCUUAACUUGCCAACAGGUGAAAGCUAAGCACCGAGUUCCUGCGGAAAAGUUGCAGAGCCUACCGAUUCGAGUGUGGAAGUGGGAGAAGAUCACCAUGGAUUUUGUGAUGGGAUUGCCUCGCUCACAGGCCGGGCAUAAUGCUAUUUGGGUGAUCGUGGAUAGGCUGACGAAAUCGGCCCAUUUCAUACUUAUCCACACUACUUGGACUGGUGAGAGACUCGCACAGGUUUAUCUGGAUGAGAUUGUGCGAUUGCAUGGGGUACCUACUUCUAUAGUAUCAGAUCGAGAUCCCCGUUUUGUAUCCCACUUUUGGAGGAGCUUACAGGAUGCUUUGGGUACGCGCUUGAAUUUCAGCACUGCUUUCCACCCCCAGAGUGACGGGCAUUCGGAGCGUACUAUACAGACUCUUGAGGACAUGCUUCGAGCCUGCGUGAUUGACUUCCAGGGAGGAUGGUCGCAGCAUCUACCGAUAGCAGAGUUUGCUUAUAACAAUAGUUAUCAAGCAAGCAUCAAAAUGGCACCGUUCGAGGCACUUUAUGGACGGAAGUGUAGAUCGUCACUUCAUUGGAGUGAAGUUGGCGAGAGAUUGGCCUUAUGCCCAGAUGUGCACCAGGAGGUCGAGAACAAGGUUCGCAUUGCUCGAGAGCGACUGUUGACAGCCCAGAGUAGGCAAAAGAGCUAUGCUGAUCGGCGUCGACGAGACUUGGAGUUUCAAGUUGGAGAUCACGUCUUCUUGAAAGUCUCGCCGACUCGAGGGAUUAGAAGAUUUGGAAUCCGGGGUAAGUUGAGCCCCCGAUACAUUGGACCGUAUGAGGUUCUGGAGCGUGUAGGCCCGGUAGCGUAUAGACUUGCUCUACCGCCAAACCUAUCGGGUGUACACAAUGUAUUCCAUAUAUCGGUCCUUCGGAAGUACAUCCACGACCCGGCUCAUGUUUUGGAUGCUACACCACAGUAGGCAAAAGAGCAACCCUUGAGAAUUUUGGCUCGCGAGGUAAAGAGAUUGCGGAACUGGGAAAUUCCCUACGUGAAGGUGCUUUGGAGCAACCACGACGAGCGCGAGGCUACUUGGGAAAUUCCCUACGUGUGAUGCUUAAGUGUCAUAAAGAGGCACUAAGCAAGUGAGUGUUGAUAUAUCACAUUGUGACAUAGAGCUAGACCGUUGGGUUACUAGUAGCUAUUGCCAUGUUUGAGACAUGAGGGUUGGAUACUUGAGCCUUUGACUACGCUUGCUUGCCAUUUGUGCUCAUUCGCACAUGCUUGUGAGGGUCACUCCCUACAAGUCGACACUCCGGAGUUAGCCUACGCGACUUAUGUUCGCUCGUGCGGUAUUGAGAAGCCUACGGGGUCGAGUGGGACAGACACAUUCCAAGAGUAGGAAUGUCGGGCUACCACAGGCACUUAGGCGGCACAAGCUGGACUACCUUGGGUAGGCCCUUAUUUGGAAAUAAAAAUCGACACAGUGUUGAGUGUGUUAUAAUCACUACUAGAUAGAGAUUAGUAGUUGGAUUACUUGGACUUACUUCUAGCAUAGUUUUGGACACUUGAGUACACAUACGUACAUGUAGUAUGCUAGGAGAUGUUGCUUAUUGCAUUCAUAUAUACAUUGUUGCCAUGAUAAAGCAUGAUCCUUAUAACUUCAUAAGUGAACUGUGACAUUUACUUGUAGCCAUGUAGAGACAUAUUGGUUAUGACAAAGUAAAGGUGCAUUAUUUUUUAACACCAUGCUUAAUUGCAAUAUAGUAGCUUAGCAUUUUAAUUAUGCUCUCAUAAAUACAGUUUAUUCGUUAUUAUUGCUGUUUGCCAUACUUACCCUUUUCUUUUGGGGCCUAGUGGUGCAUUGAGCUGAGGUCAGUAAUUGCCCACUGGGAACUAUAAUUUAUAGUUCUCACGCCCUCUAUUCUAUGUUUUCUUUCAGAGCCUUCCACGCCGGGAGAGUCUAGGGACCGUGGGAAGGGCAUUGCUUCGAGAUAGCUCUUUAGCGAGGGACGAGUUGCUAGGUGGUCUACCUCUCGAUAUAUUUUAUUUUGGGAGAGGUUGAGAGCUGUACCAGUGAACUAGAGACCACCCUUUGUGUACUUUUGGAACAGAUAUUGUACUACCUUAUGGUUUACUUUUAUUGUUUAGUUGUAUCAUUUUACUUUUGUUAUAGAAAGUAGAAUCUUACUGCUCUGAUAUCAUUAGUUUUUACUCUUUCCUUUCGGCUAUGUUUCUUGCUUUAUUUCCGCUGUUGAUGUAGACGUCUUAUAUGUGUUGGCAUAUGGCGGGUCUAGGCACACUUCCGGGAGGGCCUCUGCCGGUCCCGGGGCGUGACAGUCAUUUCCUUUUGUUGAUUUUAGAGCCAUCCCGAGGCGUGACAGUCAUUUCCUCUGACGAAUUAGAAGGAAAAGUCAUCUCAUACGUUUGAAGUGCACCUACUAAUUCUUCUACCUUAAGUUCAUCCGGAUGUUUUACCGUUUCAAUAGCCGCAACCUUUGGACGAAAUCGUUCGGGAAGAGUUCUCAAAAUUUUUCUCACAAUUUUAGAGUCCGAAAUUUUCUCGCCUAAGUUAGCACACGUGUUUACAAUGCCUUGCAAACGAGUAUAAUACUCGGUAAAAGAUUCAUGUUCUUCUAUACGAAUAGAGUCAAAUAUACUUGUAAGCAUUUGUAAUUUUUGAAUCUUUACCAAACUUGUACCCUCGUGUGUAACUUGUAAAGUGUUCCAAAUUUCUUUGCGGUUUCACACGCCGAGACACGAGAAAAUUCGGUUUUAUUUAAAGCAUUAAAUAAAGCAUUGAUACCCUUUCCGUUGAACGAAGAUAGUUCGUUUUCCUCUUUCGUCCACUUAUUUUUAGGUUUCGGACCGGUAACAUUCUCGACAACUUCGGUGGGAUGUUUCCAUCCGAAUUCAAUGGCUUGUCAUACCCGCUCGUCGAUGGCAAUAAGAAACGUCCUCAUACGGACUUUCCAAUAAGCGUAAUUUGUGCCAUCGAAGAGAGGGGGUCGAUUAAUGUUACCGCCCUCGGCCAUGAUUUACAACCUAUACCCGCUCUGAUACCACUUGUAAGAUAUGGAUCCCGAGGAUCUAAAAGGUAAAUAAUACCUAGAGAGGGGUGAAUAGGUGUAAAACGGCGAAAACAAAAAACUCUCGAUGCAAAUAAAAGAGAUAGCGGAAAAUAAAAACAGCACACCGAGAUUUUAACGUGGGAAAACUCCAAUCCGGAGUGAAAAACCCACGGGACCGAUCACGCGAAAAAAAUUCACUAAGAAAACUUGAGUACAAGUGAUUUAACCAAAAUACAUGACUCAAUUUACCGAAUUUUCGUUGUUGAUGGUCUUCGCUGGUCCUCGAUCGAUAGGAAUCCUCCAAUCGACCUCGCCGCAACUCCUUGCUGCAUCAACGCCUCAACUCCUCGAAGCGUCCACCGAAUCCUCGGCUUCACGCGAGAUCUACGCGCCGAACCUCCUUCCGGAGUUUGUAUAAUUGAUGAUUCGUGGUGAUUAAGACUUAAAAUCCCAUAAGCAAUGAGGGUUCACCUUCUAAUCAAACAUCUACUUGAUUCUCAAAGAAUAUUUCUAGUUAAAAUCGAAGAAUCAAGUCGAUCGUUGAUUAUAUGAAACUUGUUAUAUGAAUAAAAUCAUAAGAAUGUGAAAACAAGUUUCUAGGGUUUUAGAACAGUAGAAAUUCAAAACCUUAACCCAUAUGAUAACCCCCAUGGCUUAUUUAUAGGUUUAGAAGACUUAGAAGUAGACUAGGAUUGCAAAAAGUCUAUUUUAAAAACUGGUGUCGUCCUUAGGGACCGGUCCCCUCGAGGAGACCGGUCUUUGGGAGACCGGUCCCUCGCUGCGUGACAGAAAACACAACGUUCGGGAACCGGUCUCUCAUGCAAGAGACAGGUCCUUCGCUGCGUGACAGAAAAUCCCAUGUUCGGGAACCGGUCUCCCUUUCCAGAGACCGGUUGCCUCAAUAUCCCACGCAGUGAGGACCCUCGGGGACCGGUCUCUCAACUUUGGGACCGGUCCCAGAACACUGAAAAGUUCAGUUUAAGUGUUUUAAAGCAACCUAAGUCUUCUGAACUUAUUGUAAUUAGAUAAAUUCACGACAAAUGAUCUAUUCUUCAUACCUGAGAUGCCAAGCUUUCCAAAUGAGUCUUUGCUCUUCAAAUUGAAUCUUCUCUUCAAACUACCGCGAUCAACUCUUCAAGACUCCAUUUGACUUUACGAAAUCCGCCAACCUAGAAAAUCCUUAACAGUUCACCAAUGCAUUGUUUAGAAGAGUACAUAGAGCGGCGGCGUGAAGAGACGUCCUGAAUAGAGUAUCGAGGAGGCUCAGAGACGGGCUCUCUAAUCUCAAAACCACCUGACUUCCGUCGACCUCCUUUUGUCCGUUGCCUUACCUUUUCCUUUGUCAACACCUUUUUCUUUGCCCUUUCCUUUUCCUUUCUCGUUAUCCUUUUCUGCAGCUACGGGCGCUUUACCUUUUUUCUUUGAAAGCACUUCCGGUGUAAGUGCUUCCCAAUCAGGUUCCUUAGCUUUAGAUUCUUCGCCCUCUUCGCCCGGCACAUACUCACUACCCUCAUCGUCCGGUUGUUGCUCAACCGGUUGUUUAGCCAAUGAACGUUGACGUUUGCUUCUACAACCACUACCGGCCAUAAGAAAAAUAAUCACGAGUAGGCAGGAAUACAUGUUUAAAUGGCACCUGUUACACACAAUAAUGUACACAUAUUGAACAUAAGAACAAUUGAUUUUUGAUUUCAAAAACAUUAGCAAAUUGAUAUGCAAUAUGCUAGGUGAUCCGAGGGCCAUAUAAUCAUAAAAAUCAUGAACAAAUCAUGCAACAAAAAUCAGUAAAAUCACAUAUUUUCGAAACAAUUGAAAAACUAAGGUUUUGAUGGUGAAAACUAGCAAAAUCGGGCAAAUCCAUGAAAUAAAUCAUGCAAUAAUGUAUGAGAAUCCUAGAAAAACAUGUCUAGAGUUAAGAGUAUAACAAUAUGAAGAGAUUCAACAAGAUUUCUAGAUCAAACACCAAAAACACAUUUUUCGGAAUACAUUGUUAGAACGAAAUAAAAUCCGAAGAUCUUACCAAAAACAAGUGUAAAUUGAUGGAGAAAGGAAGCAAAAUCACCCUGGGGAAGUUGGAAGCUUGUGGGAGAAGUUUGAGAGUAUUUGAGAAAGUGUACAGGUUGAUCGAACCGAAACCCUUAAAUCGGGUUCGGGCGGAGGGACUGGUCUCUCCAGCCAGGGACCGGUCCCAGAGCCUGGAUUUUCAAAAGAAAUUCUAUUUUAAGUUUAAAUUUUUCAGAAAUUUUAUAUGUUAUUCCAAAAUGUCCAACAUAAAAAAUAAUCAAUUUCUAUUCCCCAAUGACCUCGAAUAAAAUUUCAUAAAUAAAUUUUGAAAAAUCAAUUUCCAGGAUAUUCAAUUUGUCAAAAAUUGUUGACUCGAAAAUCAAAUAAAAUUCUUGAUAAGUAUAAAAUAAAAUUCCACACAUCAUGUAAGACCUAAAUAUUAAUUGUAUUAUUUUAUCAUCAUAUUUGUUAAAAAAAAUGAAUAAAUAAAUCUCAUAAUCGUGAAAUUAAAAUAAUACCCUCAAAUUGAGUUAUGCACAUUAUUCGAGAUAGGAGUGGUUCUUUGAGCAUCUUUUGACAAACCACCUAAUAUCGCCUAGGAGAUGUAUUAAAAAUAUUAUUAGAAUUGUACCAUCUUCACAAAAUCUCAUAUUUAUUUAUUCUUUAUUUCCUUUCUAUCUCAAGGAUAUACUUUGAUCAUCAUGUGGUAGCUGCACACACUGACCGGACGACCGGGUGGGUAGCUCUUUCCUUCAUAUGGUGGUAGUUUUCACACUCCCAACAGGGAUGUAACUCUUUCCACAUCUUUUGAAUUUAAGAAAUUUCCAUAACCAUAAUCGGAAAGACUCCCCCUAAAUUAGUGCAACCCUCAAGUCAAAAAUAUUAUCGCAAUUUCAAAAACAGAGAAAUAGUUAUUCAUCUCAUAGCUAAUAAUCAAACAAAACAAUUGCAACGUUCAAAGUUCGAAGCAUGAGGUGUUGAAUUUAACUCAGUAUACUAAAACAGAAUUUCAAUAAUUUAAUCGUUCAAAAAUUAUGACAAAAGAGAAUAACAUUGACGGUGAUCAAUCAAAACAUAAUAUGAAACAAUUAAAGUCAUAUGAUAGAGCUCACAAAAACCAAUUUAUCUCCCAAAAACAUAACAUUAACAGUGACACCAUUCAUGAAACUCAAUCAUCUCUCAAGAAUAAUCAGGGAAAACCGAAAAACAUGCACAGAAGCAAAAUGCAGUAUGCACAUGAUUUAUGGCCCAUAGAAUGCAUCUAGAGAGAAGGAUUCAUACCAAUAGCCUUUCUUAAAUGUAGAAAAUGUUUUUGAUCCAAAGGCUUAGUAAAAAUAUCUGCAAGUUGAUUUUCAGUUGAAAUAUAUUCAAGUUGAAGAACUUUUGAUUCAAUCAAUUCUCUUAAAAAGUGAUAUCUUAGUUCAAUAUGCUUUGUUCGUGAAUGUAAAACAGGAUUUUUUGAAAUAUUAAUGGCACUCGUGUUGUAACAUAGAAUUGUAAAAGUGGUGGAGGAGAUUCGAUAAUCACUCAAUAAGCUUUUCAUCCAUAGUAAUUGUGUAGAGCAACUACGGCCGCAAUGUAUUCCGCCUCGGCAGUGGAGAGUGCAAUACAGUUUUUUUUUUUUUUUACUAUGCCAUGCAACUAGACAGUGGCCUAUAUAAAAGCAUGCUCCACUUGUGCUUUUUCGAUCAUCCCCAGAAUCGGCCCAAUCCGCAUCCGAGUAGCCAAUUAAAUCCAAAGACGUCCCCAUCGGAUACCAUAGACCAUAAUCGGUUGUACCUUUAAUAUAUCGUAUGAUUCUCUUAACCGCUUUCAAAUGAACUUCUUUUGGAUUAGCUUGAUAGCGAGCACAAAUUUCCACACUAAAAGCAAUGUCCGGUCUACUCGCGGUCAAAUACAGUAAACUGCCGAUCAUGCUCCUAUACUAUUUUUCAUCCACACUUUGUCCUUAACAUUCACUCCAAAUCCUUUGUUACUUGUUCCCAUCGGUGUAUCAAAGUUCUUUGCUCCAUCCAAACCGAAUUUCUUAACCAAUUCCUUUGCAUUCUUGGUUUGAGACAAAUGAAUUCUUCCUUUGAUUGUUUAACUUAAAGACCAAGGAAAUAUGAAAGCUCACCCAUCAUAGACAUCUCGAACUCACUAGUUAUCAACUUUGCAAAUUCGGCGGCAACGGUAUCUUUAGUUGCGCCAAAGACAAUGUCAUCCACAUAAAUUUGUGCCACAAUAAAGUCAUUUUUAGUGCGUUUUACAAAAAGAGUUCUAUCCGCUCCCCCUCGGUUGUAUCUCUUUUCUAAAAGAUAUUUUGUUAAUCGUUCAUACCAUGCUCGCGGUGCUUGUUUAAGUCCAUAAAGUGCUUUUUUAAGACGAAAAAUAUGAUUUGAAAAUUUAGAAUCUAUAAAACCUUUUGGUUGUUCCACAUAAACUUCCUCUUUUAAAAAAUCAUUCAAAAAUGCACUUUUAACAUCCAUUUGAAAAAGAGUAAUUUUAAAAUGACAAUCUAUCGCGAACAAAAUACGAAUAGAUUCAAGACGAGCAACCGGGGCGAAUGUUUCAUCAAAAUCAAUCCCCUCAAUUUGUGAAUACCUUUGAGCAACAAGUCUAGCUUUGUUUCGAACAAUUAUACAAUCCUCAUUUUUCUUAUUUUUCAAAAUCCAUUUAGUACCAAUAACAUUUUGUUGCUCAGGGCGUGGCACUAAUUCCCAUACAUCAUUGCGGGUAAAUUGACCAAGUUCUUCUUGCAUGGCAUUUAUCCAAUAUUCAUCACGAAGAGCUUCGUCAAUAUUCUUUGGCUCAAUUAGAGAUACAUAAUAUGCAAAUUCACAUUGAAGUUGACUUCUAGUUCGCACACCAACAUUAGGAUCCCCAAUGACAUUCGAUAAGGGGUGAUCUCUUGACUCUCUCAGGGGAGUAGUCUCAGAUGAUAUACUAGGUAUUUCAGAUGAGAUGCUUUGAGGCUCAGAUGAAUCAUUUGAUGCAACAAUUUCAGGAGAUGCAAUGAGAUUAUCAAAUACAGAAACAUUAUCAUUCAUAGGCAAUACAAACGGAGAAUCAUUAUCAUCAUCAUUCAUCAAAAAAUUAGAAGAACCAUUCACAGAAGUACUUACAGAAAAAGCUUCAUCUACUUUUAUGUUUAUAGAUUCUAUCACCGUCUUAGUUCGUAAAUUGUACGCACGAUAAGCACGACUUAUAGUAGAAUAACCAAGAAAGAGCCCCUCGUCACUUCGGGAGUCAAAUUUUUCAAGAUUUUCACGAUCCCGAAGGAUAAAACGCUUACUCCCGAAGACACGAAAGUAUUUAAUAUUAGGUUUCCUACCAAGCCAAAGUUCAUACGGAGUAUUCAAAGUACCCGGACGCACAUAAAUCUGAUUGAUAACAUAGACGGCCGUGUUAACCGCUUCGGCCCAAAAAUGUAAAGCAAUUUUCUUACUAUGAAGCAUAACACGUACCAUCUCUUGUACAACCCGAUUUUUGCGUUCUACCACUCCGUUUUGUUGCGGUGUAUAAGGAGCCGAGAAUUCAUGUUUAAUCCCAUUAGAAACACAAAAAUCAAUAAUUUUUGAAUUUAUGAAUUCUCCCCCUUGAUCACUUCGAAUACGUACAAUUUUAUCGUUACGCUCAUUCAUAAGACGAAGACAAAUCUCAAAAAAAGAGUAAAAAGUAUCGGCUUUUUCACGUAAGAAAGCAUUCCACGAAAAACGAGUAAAGUCAUCAACAAUAAGUAAUAUAUAGCGUUUGCCACCCAAACUUUGAAUCCUAGAAGGUCCCAUCAAGUCCUUGUGCAACAACUCUAAAGGUUUAGAUGUCCCUAAGUUGUUCAAAUUCUUAUGUGCGGAUCUAGUUUGCUUUCCCAGUUGACAACCCCCACACUUAGUGUUCUCUUUGAAAUCUAUCUUAGGUACACCUCUAACAAUUUUCUUCUUCGAUAAUUUUGAUAGUUCCUUGAAGUUUAUGUGGCCUAGUCGUUCAUGCCAUAAAGUUUCAGUCUCUAAUGUCGCUAUGUUACACUUUUACACUUUUCAGAUGAAGCACUAGGAACUACAUAACAAUUAUUCUGAGAUCUUACACCUUUUAAGAAAAGAUAAUCAUCGCGAGUUACAUUGCAUUCUUUAUCAGAAAAUUUCAUAGAAUACCCAUCAUCACACAAUUGGCUUAUACUUACGAGAUUUGAUUUAAGCCCCUUAACAUAAAAAAUAUCAUUCAAAGUAGGGCCAUCUGAGAUUGUAACUGUUCCUUUUCCGAUGAUUUUUGAUGACCGACCGUCUCCAAAAACAACAAGUCCUCCGGAGAUUUUAUUUAAAGAAGUAAACCAAUUUUUAUCACCGGUCAUGUGAGGGGAACAACAACUAUCCAGAUACCAAGAAGUAUUAUCGUAAGCAUGAAGCGAAGUGUGAAUGACAAGGCAUGGGAAGAGUUCACCUUUGCGCACCCAGACCUUACGUGUUUUGGGUUGCGACGACUGACUUGCUUUUGGUGAUCGUGGCUUGUCGACGAUUUGAGUUUACUUCUUCUUCAGAUCCUCCUUCUUUGGCUUCCAUGCUUAUUUUGCCUUUGAUUUCGGAGCAUUCUUCUUUGGUGUCCACGUUUGUUUCUUCUUAUGAUCAUCCUUUUUUGGAGUCCAAGUUGACUUCGAUUUUGGUUUAGGAUCAUUCUUCAUUGACUUUAAUAAUGUUCUUUGAUUCAAGGGUGUUGUAGAGCUCUUACCCUUUUGUUUGCAAAACCUUUUCACAUGUCCUAAAACACCACAAAGAUGACAAGUUUUGUUAGCCAAUGUAUUUUUAGGAGGGACAAACUUACCAUAAAGCUUAGGAACCGCUUUUGUCGAAUAUUCGUCAUCUUUCUUCAUUGCUUGAUCAAUAUACGUCCGUUCGUAUCCAAGUCCAAAUUUAUUUGUUUGACCAAGUCCGAGCAUCUUGUCAAAUUUGCUAGAGCUAGACAAAAAUUGAUUUAAAACCGAUUUGAGUUGGAUAAUAGUCUUGGUGAAUUCCAUAUUUGCUUCUCUAGCUUCCGAGUAUUGCUUGGUAAGAAAAUUGAUGUUUUCAACAUGAGACUCCUUUUUCUUUUCAAGUAAUGUACACUUCUCAAAUAAAGAAUCGUAAGCCUUAGUCAAACCAUAUCUUUCUUGUUCUAGAUCCUUUGUCAACGAGUCCAAUCUCGAAUUCUCUUGUUCCAAGUCAUGUAGUCUCCGCCGCAGCUUUUUGUUAUGUUUUGCCAUCUUCUUCGACUCGACAACCAAUUGAUGAUAUGCGGAAACCAUAUCAUCUUCAUCUGAUUCUUCAUCCGAUGAGUUCUCCGACGUAGAUUUCUCAUGCAAAGAGACAUAGAGAUAGAGUCAGUGGAUGCCAAACACAUAAAAUUAGAAUCAUGUGCAAUAAGCGCCGUAACGUUUACAUCCUCAUCACUUGAAGAUGACUUAUUCGAGGAUGAAUCAUCCUAAGUGAUGGCUUGCAUCACUUUCUUUUUCAAAGAUUUUUUAUUAGGGCAAUCCGAUGCAAUAUGACCAAAUCCUCUACACUUAUAGCAUUGGAUUUGACCUUCAUUACUUUUCUUCUCUUCAGAAAAAUCUUUUGAAGAGCUUUCGGAUUUUUUAUUCUUAGAAAAAGAAUAUGAAGACGAACUCCCUUUAGAUUUGCUUGACUUCGAGGAAGUAGACUGGAGGAAACUUCUUUCUAAAGUUUCGAUGGAACUUCUUCGUUAGAAGAGCCAAUUGUUUCUCAAACUCCUCCAAUGUUUGAUCCGAUUCCGAGUCCGAUGAAGUAGUCAUGUCAUCUCCUUUUGUUGAUUUUAAGGCCAUACUUGAAGUUUUAGAAGAAGACUUGGAAGAAGACGAAUUAGAAGGAAAAGUAAUCUCAUAAGUUUGAAGUGCACCAACUAAUUCCUCUACUUUUAAUUCAUCCGGAUGUUUUACCAUUUCAAUAGCCGCAACCUUUGGACGAAAUCGUUCGGGAAGGGUUCUCAAAAUUUUUCUAACAAUUUUAGAGUCCGGAAUUUUCUCGCCUAAGUUAGCACACGUGUUUACAAUAUCUUGCAAACGAGUAUAAUACUCGGUAAAGGAUUCAUGUUCUUCCAUACGAAUAGAAUCAAAUCUACUUGUAAGCAUUUGUAAUUUUUGAAUCUUUACCAAGCUUGUACCCUCGUGUGUAACUUGUAAAGUGUCCCAAAUUUUUUUGGCGGUUUGACACACCAAGACACGAGAAAAUUCGGUUUGAUUUAAAGCAUUAAAUAAAGUAUUGAUACCCUUUCCGUUGAACGAAGAUAGUUCGUUUUCCUAUUUCGUCCAUUUAUUUCUAGGUUUCGUACCAGUAACAUUCUUGACAACUUUGGUGGGAUGUUUCCACCCGAAUUCAAUGGCUUGCCAUACCCGUUCGUCGAUGGCAAUAAGAAGCGCCGUCAUACGGACUUUCCAAUAAGCGUAAUUAGUGCCAUCGAAGAGAGGGGAUCGAUUGAUGUUACCGCCCUCGGCCAUGAUUUACAAUAUAUACUCGCUCUGAUACCACUUGAAAGAUAUGGGUCCCAAGGAUCUAAAAGGUAAAUAACACCUAGAGGGGGGUGAAUAGGUGUAAAUGGCAAAAACCAAACCUCUCGAUGCGAAUAAAAGAGAUAGCGGAAAAUAAAAAAUAACACACCGAGAUUUAACGUGGGAAAACUCCAAUCCGGAGUGAAAAACCCACGGGACCGAUCACACAAAGAAAAUCCACUAAGAAAACUCGAGUACAAGUGAUUUAAUCAAAAUACAUGACUCAAUUUACCGAAUUCUAGUUGUCGAUUAUCUUCAUCCUCGAUCGAUAGGAAUCCUCCAAUCGACCCCGCCGUAAUUCCUUGCUGCGUCAACGCUUCAACUCCUCGAAACGUCCACCGAAUCAUCGGCUUCACGCGAGAUCCACGCGCCGAACCUCCUUCCGGAGCUCAUAGAAUUGAUGAUUUGUGGUGAUUAAGACUUAAAAUACCAUAAGCAAUGAGGGUUCAUCUUCUAAUCAAUCAUCUACUUAAUUCUCGAAGAAAAUCUCGAGUUAAAACUUAAGAAUCAAGUCGAUCAUUGAUUAUAUGAAACUCGUUAUAUGAAUAAAAUCAUAAGAACAUGAAAACAAGUUUCUAGUGUUUUUGAACAGUAGAAAUUCUAAGCCUCAACUCAUAUGAUGACCCCCAUGGCUUAUUUAUAGGUUUAGAAGACUUAGAAGUGGACUAGAAUUGCAAAAAGUCUAUUUUAAAAACUGGUGUCGUCCUUAGGGACCAGUCUUCUCGAGGAGACCGAUUUGUUAGAGACCGGUCCCUCGGGUGGGAGACCGGUCCCUCGCUGCGUGACAGAAAACACAACGUUCGGGAACCGAUCUUUCGUGCCAGAGACCGGUCUCUCCCUGCGAGUCAAAAAUUCCAACGUUGGGGAACCGGUCUCUUGUGCCAGAGACCGGUUGCCACGUCCUAGAGACCGGUCCCUCAGAUCAGGAGACCGGUUGCCUUGGACUUUCACGCAGAGAGGACUCUCGGGAAUCGGUCUCUCAUCUCAGAGGACCGGUCCCAGCACAUCGAAAACUUCAGUUUGUGUUUUCUAUAGCAAUCCAAGUCUUCUAAACUUAUAUUUAGGUAGUUUAAACACACUACAAAUAAUCUAACAUUCAUACCUGAGGUGUCGAGCUUUCCGAAUAGGUCUUUAAUUCUUCAAAGUGAAUCUUCUCUUCAAACCUCCACGAUCAACUCUUCAAGACUCCAUUCAACUUCACGAAAUCCGCCAACCUAGAAAAUCCUUAACAUAGUGACACCUAACAUAACCACAAUCCACCAGUGACACUUAGCAGUAUAUAGUGAAAAUCCAACAUAACCAAAUAACAGAAUCUAUAGGUACAGUUAGUAUGUGAUAUAAUCCUUCUAUUGUAAGUUCCAACACAGUGAAGAUUAUGGUAGUUCGUCAAAUCCCAUCACGGGUCAUAUGUAAAAUUUAUUUGACCUUAACUUAUAUGGUUUUUCCGAAAAUUUAUUUAUAUAUGAUAUACCAUUCUUACUCUAGCCAAAGAUUUCAUGAGCUAAGUCUCAUAAAUCAUAUAGGAUACUAAGGACAACAACUUCUUUUGAAUACUCUCCCACUACUACUAUAAACCUGCCAUAGCCAACAUGCACUACUAGAAAAUGAUAGCUAAUCUCCGGGAUAUUGUGCAGUCAGUCUACAACGACCCUAUCAGUGACUAGCCGAUUGAGGUGCUGCAAGUCGAAGAAUCAAACACAUAACUGCAUCACCAAGAACAUCACUGACGAGUAAGUAGAUUACCAUGUGACUUCUUGUGUUGGUCAAGUUCGGUAACAUUGUUCUUAACAACCACCUGCACUUUAGCUCUAGUGUCUCCACACUAUAGACUUGAGACUCUACCAAAAGAAAGCUUGUAGUGCACCAAUCUCAGUGGAUGCACCAUUGUCCCCGUAGUGAUCUAUCAAUCAGGAGCCUUUAGGAAUUAACCAUCAAUGACACAUGCCCCAGAUUCUCAGCUCCUGAGAAUAUGUACCAUAAUCUUGUUAAUCCUUGGAUGAUUCACGAAUAGAAUAAAAAACCUCAAUAUAUAUAUGUGUGUGUGUGUGUAGAGUCCCUGGUGUUCUGCAGCUCGUGGGUUUCAGCAUCGAAGGCUUGUUGACAUAUCUGGAGAGUGUCGAGACAAAUCGGAGUCGUUUUGGGCAAAAUGGACGCAAAACAGCCUCGACGCGAGGCGAGAGUGGAUUCUGAUGCUGAAAUCCGCAAAGUGCAGGAUUUCAGUGUUGAGUAUCGGUACCAAGCAGGGGAGUACCGAUACCCCAGUGUAAUUCCAGAACAAAAUGCUCUCGGGUUGCGCUAAUCUGAUGCUGAGUACCGGUACGGCAUCAGGCUGGUACCGGUACCUUGUGUGCAAGCUUGCGGGCUGAGAGGCCGAGUACCGGUAAACAAAUUGGGUACCGGUACUCCAGCUGGAUUUGUGAGUUCGUGAGGGGCCUUUUAGUCAUUUGAAGUGGCAUUAAUCUCAACCUUAUCCCACCUCUUUAUAUAUGUGUAGAGAGACAGAGAAUGAGCUUUUGGUUGCUGCUUCCUCUCUCUCUAGUUUGGAGACAUCGCUCGUGGUGAAGUCACGGCUCAAGCUCGGGUAGACUUCGACGUUGCACCGGGGAGCCGUUCGACCGUGCGAGCGUCGUGGUUGCAUCGUUGGGAGGCCGGGCGAGCGCGUGGUUUCCUCUCCUUUCGACUUCUCGCCGUAGUUGGACUAGCAUGUCGAGAUGGGUUAAUGUUUAUCGAAAUCGUCGGAGCUCCUCCUAAGUUUUAGCAUCGUCGACAUGUAUCAUUGGUUUAUUUCCUUAUUAGUACUCGAAUUCAUGGAUUAGAAUAUAAAAUCUGAAUUUGGAGUUAAGAUAGAAUUAUAAUUUUACAUGUUGGACUUGGAAUUGACUUAGGAGAAAACUAUUGAAUCAUACACUAUCAUUUCAAAAAAUUACCAGAUUUAGCUUUAUGAGCUGUGGUUCGUUUGUAUCGCCGCUGUUCAUAUGCGAUGGAUACCCAGAUGAGUGUAGGAUGAGUUUACGCUCGUGCUGGGAUGCCAGUUUAUUUUACAGUAGUGUGUAGACUGUUUUAGAUUGUCGGGUGCCGUCGCGGUUGAUGGUGGACCCAGAUUUCUGUGUUUUGCCUCAGAUUGUGCCAAGGGCACGUGAGCUUUGGUUGUUAGACCAGUUAGACUCAUUUGCAUUGACUAUAGCCUGUGAGAGUCUGAUUGAGCUCGACAGAGACACGCUUGCAUACUCGGUUGGGUCGCGCCCACGAGUGCCGCUCCAGAGUUUGGCUACGUGCUUUUGCGUUGAUGUCGUAGUGUCCAGUUAGGGCUUUGCUCUCCACCAGCAGCCCUCAGGGUGGUGUGCAGUGUAGCUUCAACAGGCGGGAUGGGUGCGUUCAUAGUCCCUAGUGAGUUUGGGUCAGAGAUUGCAUUUUUGUCAUAUCUACAGAUAGCCAGUGUUGGUUAGCGAUAGUAUAGUGGCAUCUAGCUGUAAGGUUUCCAGCUUUCCUUACUAUCUCUUACGCACUUUUCUGCAGACUUAGUGGGUGAGCCGUUGAGGUUGGUGACAGUACCCAUUGAGGACUACUUCUUUUUGCAGUAGUUCUUACACCCAGUUGUUUACCCUUUUUGCAGAGCCUUUAUCCGCGGCUGCUGCUGACGCUGUUUCUGAUCGUGGAAAGGGAGUCGGGAGCUAGAUCCUUUCCCUAGUUGCUGUGCUAGAGGGGUACCUUCCACAGGUAGUUUUGGGGCUUUUUGUACAUAUGGUCUUGUUGUCUGGGUACUUGCUGGAGCGAGUGGUGUAGUAGAUAUUUUGUAUGUACUGGAACCCCUCGAGGUUUUAUAUAUAUGUUUUCAGUUUAGUACCUCUUACCUCGUGGUUGUAGCUUGUUUGGUUUACAGGUACAACUAUCGUUUCGUAUACAGGGGAAAAUUCUAUGUAUGCGGCGGGUCUGUUGGCGUGCCCGGGGAAACAUGUAAUCCGGAGCAUGACAGUGUGUGUGUGUGUGUGUGUGUGUGUGUGUGUGCAGUACAAUCAUAUAACCAAUGGUAUAAUGUGCAUCGGCCUAUCGGCUACUAGGGCAUAGUACUAAAAAUCUCUCACUUGCACUAGAACCAAUCAGCCAAAUAUCUAAGAUCCACAUUCUCAAAGUGAGUAUCAAGCUUCUGCUGAUUAAGCAUUUUAGUUAGCAGGUCUACAACAUUAUCUGUAGAAGCUACUUUUUGCACCAUAAUAUACUUUUUGUCAUCAACUUAGUUGCGUAUGAUGUGUAAUAUAUACUAAACUUCAGUAUACCGUACUAAACUUUGGCCAAACUGUGCAAAAUAUAGUUAAAAAGUAAUUAUGGACAUGUUUGGAGAUGAGUUCCGAGAGUUUCGGAACAAUUGGAAGUGAGUUGGAGCUCUACGGAGCGAAACAGAAAUUUCAAGACAAAGCCCUUUUGGGCCAUCAAACUUUCAGGAUCCAAAGCUUGACUUAAGGAUUUAGACCUUGAUAUUUUUGUACAAAUGUAGUGUAUCAAAGUCUGGACCCAAAGGGAGGAUCCGAAUGUUUGCUGCGAAAAUGCUGAAAUCCAGCUUCAGGAUCCAAACCCUUGGAGCUGUCCGGACCUUGCCUGCACAGUCUGAGGACAAGGUUCAGGAUCUUGACCCUACCAGAGGAUACAUGUAAAGAAGUAAAUUCUCGAAAUCCGAGGAUUAGACUUCGUUUAGAAUCGACUAAUUGUCGAGGGAAUAAGCUUCGGAAAGUCCGGAGGUGAUUAAAAUGCAUGAAGUGCAUUAAGGAAGAGUCCGCGAGAGCAGCAGUGCAAAAUCUGCACUGGAGCAGAAUUGCUCUCGGGGACGGUCCCUGGCAGGGAAGGACCGAUCCCAUCAGGCUGGGCUGGCGGGGAUCCUUGAUGCAACCGGUCUCUGGCAGGGAAGGACCAAUCCCCGAACGUUAACCCAGCGAGAAAGGCCGAAAUUUGGCUAAGUCCCGAAAAUCCAACUCUCGGGAACCAGUCUCUCGGACAAGGACCGGUCUCCCGGGGGCUGGUCUCUCAGGCGGGGACCGGUUCCCGAACGCGAAACUCCCUCUGCCCGAGAUGGAAGGCUCUCGGGGACCGGUCUCCCCGACCUGGGACCGGUCCCCCGCUACGAAAUCAGCCCAGUGAAGGCUAUUUAAUAGAUGGAAAGUUGAGGGGCCUAUUUGUAAAAUGGCCUAUAUGAAGGUGGAGGACCUCUCUCUCUCUCUCAUUUGUCUCAUUUGCCCUCUUUUUCUCUCCCUUCCUCUCUCUAGAACAAAAGGACAAGACGAAGAGAAGAAGGAGAAGAGGGGAAAGAAGAAAGAGGAGAAAAAGGAGUUAAAGGGGAAGACUAAGAAGAGGAAAAGAUCACCUUUCUCUCUCUCUCCCUCAAGCUAGAACAAGCUUGGAGCUUGGUAUAGAGGUAAGCUCCAAACCCAUCCAUGGUGGAUUUCUUGAGAUUGGGUUUUAUUGCUUAGAGGUGGUUCGAAUGGAACCUAGAGGAGAUAAAUAGAUGGUUCUAGCAGCGGAUUCGAAGCUCGAACCAUAGAUUUCUCCCUCAUUGCCAUUUUAGGGCACGUUUUGGGAUUUUUAGAAAUGUGAGGUCUUGAUCUAUUUCGACGGGUUGUGAACCUAAUUGCUAGGUCUCGGAACGCGCCGGCGAAGACGGUUCGUCGAUACGACGAGCGGGUGCGAAGAUAUCGCCGAAUCAAGCGCUUAAGGGUUCGAAUCGACCCGAGAAGCCGAAGCAUCGACCAAGGACUAUGAAGUCGAGUUUCUACCAUCGCGGCAUCACCAAAAAGGUGGGUGGUGACCAUCCCGAAGCAACUGGAUUCCCCUUUAUGUCUUAGUACCUUAAGAUCUUACAUCUUGUGUUUACAUGCAUUGUAGGAUAAUUGUGCAUUGCCUUUCCUUAUGCUUUCCCAGAUGAUAUCAUAUUAUGCAUUAGUUACUUGAUAUAGUGGAUUGAUGAGGAUUGGGUCGAGGCUUGUAAUCCUAUAGUGCAGAGGGAAAAGAAUGACGCAAUGGUUGAAAUAAGAGAACGAGUGGCAUCUAGUUGAUAAUGAACCAGAGAACGAGUGGCAUAUGUGAAUCUUAGUGUAGCUGAAACACUAGAUUGAUGAGUAUAGAAACUCAUUGGUUCUAUGUUGAUACUAUCCUUAGCUGAUAGGGUAUCCUCGAGUUGAGAGGAUUGGAUCAUACUCACUGUCUGUUCUUGACUUGUGAUGGUCGCUCCACACAAGUAGUGCGCUCCGGAGUUGGUCACGUGGGAUAGCCUAUUUGGGGUCCCGUGGGAUAGGGAUAGCCUAGUUGGUGUCCCGAGGGAUAGCCUAUGUGGGGUCCCGCAGACGGUCUCGGAUUCGUAGUUUGAGUUGAGUCUCCCUACGCGUCGAGAUGGCUAUGUGAGUAGUAGGUGAACCCUCGAGUGAGCCACGAGAUUGAUGAACAAGGAAAUAGCUUUAAUUCUUGGACAUAUGACGAACUAGUUGAUUACCUACUUCAUUGUGCAUGCAUUUUACAUAUACAUGAUUCGAGCAUAGUAGUGUAGCUUUACUAUUCUGUCAUCACAGCUUUACAUAUUUAUCUAUCUGUUUAUCUACUUGUGCCCACUUGGACCUAGUGGGGAGACCGCCGAAGUCGGCGACCGAACCCACUGGGAACUAUGGAAGAUAGUUCUCACCCUACUCUUUAUAGGUCCGAGUUCGAGUGUCCCCGGCAAGCGUGAGGAUCGUGGCAAGGGCAUAGCGCCCUAGUGGUAUAUGUACAUAGCUAGCUUUACUUCCUUUUGCAUUAGCUCUACCCUGUACUUAUGUUUGAGAGUAGAUGUUGUAUAGGGUGAGGUUUGAAAGUGCUUGUACAGAUGUUCUGCAAGAAUGUAAAAGAUGAAAUUAAAUAUAUUAAGUUGAAUGAAUGUAAUAGAUAGAACCUUCUCUCUUUACUUACUGGUUUGUCUCAUACUCGUAUCUUGCUCUUAUCUGUUAGCACUGGUGGUGCUCCUUGUGAUCGUGUAUGUAUGAAUUGAUUCCUGGGUAAAUUCUUAUACAUGAUUAGUUUGCAUAGCCUUGGGCGGACAGGGGAGGUGCUGUCCGUUCGGCGUCUGUUUGACGCGCCCGAGCCGGACCGAAUUGGUUUUGGGGUCGCAGCGUGACAAUAUGGAUCCUUUAUGGGCUUAAAGUGCAAUUCAGGGGGUUUUAUACAAAUAUCGCUAAACCCUUUUAAAGGAGGACCAAGCCCUCUAGUCCCCAAUAUGAACACACACUCUUCUGACCCUCUCUCACUCUAUUCUCACUCUCUCUCUAGAAAUCUCUAAAAUAGUUGGAGAUUUGGAAACUUGAUCUUGGAGUUGGAAUGAAGUGCAAGCUUCCUAGAGCAAGAAGAAGGUUGGGGAGCUUUGAGUCAAGAUGAGUUUUUUAGGAUUAUAAGUUGGGGUUUUGGAUUUAGCCAUUAGAUUUGGGAUUUUAUCAAACCCUGGGCAAGUCUAGACCACAAGUGGUAAAGAUUUGCCAUGAGAUUUGGAUUCUGCUCUAAUUUUGAGGGAAUCCCUAGGGUAAUUGAAGUUUUGAAUUUUAAGGGUUUAAAAAUAUUUUGACCCUUUGGAACUCUAAUUGAAGGUUAGAGAAACACAUAGGAAACCUCAUUUCAAGGAACAAAAGGAUUUCGAUGAUCAAUUUGAAGUAACAAACAAAUUUUGGGCGUUUUUGGGCAAGAAAGCUUGGAAUCAAGCAAAUAGCCGACGAAAGCCUAAUUGCAAGUAUUUACAAGCAAUUAGGAGCAUGUUGAGGUGGGUCAUGCUCUACUGAAGUGAAUAAGUUACUUUCAUGUCUAGAGAGUAAAUAACUAAAUUAAGUUAUACAUGUUGCAUUAUAGUCUAAUUAUUAAAUAUGCAUGUAUGAGGCAUAUGUUACUUGGAAUGAUUUUACUAUUUAUGCAUGAGUAGAUGUGCAUGCAUGUGAUAUGUAUUAAGUUAGAAUAACUAAUUCUCUUUGAACAAGUAAAUGCAUGCAUUGUUAUAUUACAUUUUAUGUUAUGGACUAGAUGUAGGUUGGCAUUCUCUAGAGUUGGUAGAGAACUCAACACAUGAACAAUCAAAUACAUAGUGCCAUUGAACAAAGGCGGAAAACGUAGUGAUAGGAUGACCACUUGGACAUGAAUGACAUUAAAUCUAGAGAGGUUGACAACAUUGGGUGAAACAUAUGAAUCCUUGAUGAGACUAUGAAAGUGGUGAUUUUGCUACUUAUGUACUUGGGGCAAAAAAAAAAACAGGGACAACGAUUCCAUUUCCUAGCACCUAAUGAACGCGGCGAUUUUGUGGCUUAUGGACUUAUGGCUAAGUGGUGCCGCAAUUUCGUUACGUAAUGCAAAGAUGAAGGCGGCAAUUCUACAUGUCAUUGACUCAAGAUAGAGUUGGGUGACAUGAUUAGGAUAAUGAAGUUAGUGAGUAAAUGGUAGUUUACAUCACAUGAGUAGAUUUUAUUAUCAUGAGUGUAGGCAUAAGCAUGAUUACUUUUAAUUGCAUAUAGUAAAGAUUUAUAUACUUACGUGAUUAUCUAUUAUUUUCUAACUUAUGCUUAUGUUGCCUCCUUUAGACCUGAUGGGUUGAGCUUUUUCCUUGGGUGACUGUACCCACUAGCAACUAUGUUUAUAGUUCUCACCUUAUGUUUUUCAGGUCCAUUUACAGGCGACACGGCGGAGCGAAGGAAGGCCGUAGCACCAUAGAUAGUGGCCUUUCCACAUUUUGAGGUCUUUAUAGAUGUACCCUUUGUGGACAUGUAAUGAAAGAAAAAUAAAAAUUGUAAAGCUCAUUGUGAGAUUGUAUUGGGAAUUCAGAUGUAAACACAUGCAAUGAAACAUAUGAACGAAUAGAACCAUGUAAUAGAAAAUAGUUUACUUUCUGUUGUUAAUAUUCUCCUUAUGCAAUCCUUAUAUAUACUUCCUAGUUGGGAUGUGUGGUAAAUACAGAUUGUGACGCUUUGGGAGGCUAGGAGAAACUUUGUCUAUUCGAUAGGUCUAGUACUCGUGCUCGAUAGUGCUUCCAUUGCGGGCUCGGGGCGUGAAAGACUAAGGUGGUAUUAAAGAGUGGAAAUGAUCUAAAUGGACCAAGGAGACUGUAGUAUGGAUAACCUUUCGGACCUAGGCUCGUAAGAGAUGAGGACUUAUGAAACAUAGCAGAAGUUGAAUCAAUUGGUUCAAGUCGUUGUAUGACUCUAAUAGGAUGUUAGAGAUAGACUCAAGGUGUGGUUUAUUCUAAGCCAAGGAUGUUCAUGUUAGCGGCCAACAACAUAAAAUCAAAUGAUAGGAAUAAGCGCCUUUACAUAACUUUCAUAAAAUUUGAGUUUGUUAGUCGAACAUUAUUUUAUAUUUGGCCAUGAGAGUCAUGUUAUUGAUCAAGUUCACUGUGUUUCAGAAAGCGAUGAUGUAUGAAUGACCUACGACGAAGUCUAGGGCGAAAGAGCCAAGUAAGGACCCCGAGCAAUCUGAGGCAAGUGGCGAUAUGGAUCUCCGCGAACAAUUAGCUGUGCUCAUUAAGGUAUUGCAAUGGCAAGUGGAGACCGCACAACGUCAGAAGGAGUAGAUCAAAAGGUUCCAAGAGAUAGCGGCACAACAAAUGCCUAUCGCUAGGGUGAGCUAAGAGCAACAAGUGGCCCCAAUAUCAGUGUCUCGAAUAUAGUUGAGGGGGUAACUACGGCAGUCGUACUUGUAGCGGCACAUCCUACGCCAUCGGUAACCGCAAUAGAUUUGGGCACUUCUGUCCCCAAUCAUGUGGCGAUGGAGGCAUUGAGGGAGUGAGCAAUUUGGACUCUCAUGACCUUCAAAAAAUUCAAUUCGCCUAUCUUUGACGGAGAAACAAAGGAUCUAUGGGUCGUGAAGACGUGGAUCAACUCCAUGGAAAUCCUAUUUGAGGACCUAUACAGACAAAGUGCACUUAGCCGCACGUUACAUGGAAAAGUUGAUGGUGUAGCAGAAGGGUUCAAGCCAGACCGAUCUCCUAGUCUCCCUACGGUGUCAUGGGAGAAAUUCCGGAGGUUGGUAUUCUCUAUAUACUUCCCUGACAGUGAGAAGAGGAAGGUCCAAAAAAAUUUUCAAAAGUUGGAGCAAGAAAACCACACGAUAAAAAAGUAUGAGCAGGAAUUCUCUCACAUUGUCAACUAUAUCCCGUACGUAGUUCAGGAUGACAAAAGACAAGGCCUAUUGUUUCAAGUGCAUAUUUCGGCUUAAGGUUGUGUAUUACUCAAGUUGCAAACAUUUGCCAAAGUGUUGGAUUGGGCAUUGUGGGUGGAACAGGGCAAUGCUAUCAUGUAAGAGGAACGCAAAUCUUAGAUAAAGAGAAGGGGAAGAACCGACAGGCAAGUAGUUCGAGUGGUCAAUCGAGAUCUAAAUGACCACCGAAGCAUCUCCAAAUCACGAUCUCAAGCCCUAGAGUUGUUCACCACCCAAUCCUCGUUAAGGUGCGUCAUUUGUGAUGGCCCUUAUAAAUUGCAUCAAUAUGAACAGCGAGAGCGCAAGUUUUUUAAGUGUGGGCAGUCAGGACACAGGCAGUUUGAUUGCCUACAGGAUGAUGGUCGGUGUAACGUAUCAUUUCCUCAUAAAUCGUGCCGAGUUCCGUCGAAGCGAGCGGAGCGCGGAGUGGAUCGAGUUGAAACGGGUUCUGAGCGCAUUGGAACCUUGAUAUAGUGCAAAGGGACCCGAGAGAGUGAAACUGGAAAAUCUAGCCAAGUCCCAGAUUUUGGACUCUCGAGGACCAGUCCCUGAAGGAGAGACCGGUCCCCGUACACGUAGCCAGCCAAAAAGGGUAGAAAAUCGGCUAAGUCCCCUGCAGGGAGAGAUCGGUCCCUGUAAGCGAAAAUGGCCCCCAGUGGCUAAGUCCUGGAAAACCCACUCUCGGGGACCGGUCCCUGCGGGGAGAGACCGGUCCCCGUAUGCAAAAAAUGCCCAGUGAGGGCUGAUGUGAAAAAUGGAAUUAAGAGGGGCUUAAGUGCUAUUGUGACAUGGUGAAUGGUUAUAUGGGCUAGGGCUUGGGUGAGGGCUCAUUUGCUCUCACUCCAACACUAAAACCUUUCCCUCUCUCUCUCUAAAAAACCCUAUUUCUCUCCCUCCUUAUCUCUAGCGCUUGGAUCAAGGGAAGGAUUUGGAGGAGAAGAGCUUGGAGAAGAAGCUUCCUAAGGUGGUGGCUAGCUUGUGCAAGGCUUUUGAAGGAAAAGCUUGGACUCCAAGGUGAGUUUUCAAGGUUUUGAGUUAGGGUUUGAGUAAUAGCUUCUUGUAUGAGUAUCUAGGAGUUUCUAUGGUAGAUUUCCUCCAUGAAUAUGCAAGCUAGGGGCUUGUUUGGAGAAGAUGACAUUGUGGAGGGACCCAAAAUUAGGGUUUUGUAAUUUUAAGGUAAAAGCUUGGGCUUGAUCUCUUUUUAACCUAAUUAGUAGGUCAACGAAUGCGUUGGUGCGCUCGAUUUGGCGAUACGACGAGCGUAUGCGGAGAUAUUGAAGAAACAGGCUAAAUCGGUACAGAUCGUCGCAGCUUGCGGCGUAUAAGUCUAAAAAUCACGAAAAUUGAACUACGGCAUCCUAGUAUCACUAAGAGGUGGGGGGUGCUAUCCGAAAAUACGGAAUUUCCUUCUAUGUCUAUGUUACCAUUUUUGAGCAUAUUGAUGUUAGCAUUCAUGCAUAUAGGGUAACGUGAUGAAUAUGAUUGGUCGAGAUUCAAUUGUAUGCUAGAGAACAUAUGAAUUGAUAUAGAACCAUUUGAACUAAGAAUGUGAAAAACCCUAUGUGUAUGUGAAUGUAUGUAAAAAAGACUAUGACAGUAGUAAACAAUGGUAACAGUGACAUUAAUGACGAGAUUGGCACCGAGAAUGUAAAUGACUAAACAAGGUUUAGCUUAUUGUGGCAUCAGGACCGUUGUGGCUCAGGUAUAGUGGAAAUGUGAUAUGGUAAUAACCUAUCAUGGGCAUUGAGGCUUUGUGCAUUGAGACAGGUUUGGCUACGUCCUCACAUUGAGAAUUGGAUCGUACUCACAAAUUGGUUUCGGCUUGAGAGAGGUAGCUCCUCCUCAAGCGUUGUACUCCGAAGUGUAGACACCACGGGGAGAGUACCCCGGCGAAGAUCCCUCAGGUGGUUGAGCCUUGUGCCUCCCCCGGUAGACGGGAUGUGUGGAUUGUGAGUUUGGGGUGAACCAGGAGUACCCCGGGAUGAUUGGAUAAAGGCCAAGUAAAAUAAGAAAUGGACAUGCAUGCAUAAUUAUCAUGUACUUGAUUAUCUAUCUAUCGGUUGAUAUCUUUCUUGCAGGCAUUGUAUUAGUUGCAUUAGUGGGUUUGAUAUUCUCCUUUAUUGAAAUACAUAUGCUUGAAUAGACCUAGUGGGCGAGUCGGUGCGGUCGGCGGCCGAACCCACUGGGAACUUCGUUUUAGUUCUCACACCACCACUAACCCUGCAGAUCCAUGCGCGAGCGGGGCGGCGGAGGAUCGAGACAAGGGUAUCGCGCCGUAGAUAGCGGACUUCGGAGUAUAGGUAUACCCUAUAUAUUAUAGCUUCAACUUUUGUAUGUUGAACAGAAAAAUGAUGUAAACCUUUUAUUUUGGUUAAAGGAAAAUGUGAUGUAAAUGUGAAUGAAUGGAAAAAAUGAAUGUAAAUGUAAUAGAUUUACUUGUGUUUGAUUCAAAUGAAAUCAAAUGACUUGUAUGUGGAUAAAUGUUUAGUUUAGUAUCGAUGCUUUCACAUGUAAUGGUUGUUGUUUGCCCUCGUGCAAACCUUGUAUAAUUGCAUUCAUCUGUAUUGAAUUGCUUGUAUUAUACAUGUGGUGGAGCCUUGGGCAGACAGGGGAGGUGCUGUCCGUUCGGCGUCUGUUCGCGUGCCCGAACCGACCAAAUUGGCGGCUCCGGGGCGUGACAGAUAGUUUGGUAUCAGAGCAAAGUGAAAGCAAAAGUCUAGGACGGACUUAGGGACCUUAGGAUUGGAGACCAUCGGAACUUAGGAAACAUAUGAUGUGAACUUGGUUAACACGGAAGCUAAUUGAUUGGGUUAUGAUUAGAACUUCUCUAAAAGGACUUAGAGAUGGAUUCAAGGGAUUGUUUGUUUUCUUC